ACAAUCGGUUUGAAAGAGUUCUAAUCGCCCACUGCCUCGCUAAAAGGAACCUAAUGGAUCGUACACUGUGUAAGGUAAAGAUUGAAGAAACAACGAAGAUGAGUAAGAAUAAUUAAAUGGUUUAAUUAUUUAUGGCAAGAAUUAAUUAAUAUGUUAAUUAAUCAAACGAAUAAGUUCGUUAAAGACCUCGGGAUAGUUUUGGACCUUAAGGCCCAAUGGGCUUCGAACGUCAAGUCCAUUGACUUAAGUUGUAUGACAACUUAAUGAAUAAUGAUUCACAAAGGCCCAAAUAGUCCAAUGAAUCCCUAUGGCCGGCCAUUUAGAGAUGGAGUGGGUUUUGGACUUAUUUACAAGUUUGCCACUCCAAUGAAUUAAGGUAUAAAUAUGACUUUAUAGCCAAAAUUCAUUUAGGGUUCUUUUGGAGAAAAUUGGAGAGAACAUGUCUCUCCUUUUUCUCUCUAGGAGGCCGCCCCCCUUGGAGGGAUUAGCUAGCAAUCCCACUCCUCCAAGGUCACUCAUUUCUUCAUCAAUCUUACCUUGGUGUGGAGACUUAGAGGUUCUCUAUUUUGAGAACUUGGAGAAACCUUUUCAUCCAUCCAAAUCCAUAGAUUUAAGAUGCAAGGAAUGAAGGCCCUCUUUGGGUGAUUAGCCUUUGCUUAUACAAAGAGGAAUCUACAAAGGUAUAAUUUCUCAACUCACUUUGAUUUGAGUUGAGUCUUGGUUCACCAAUCUACUAGGCUUUGAAUUUCAUGGUUAAUGUUUUGUUUUUAAGUGCAUGCAAGCAUGAUUCCGCCUUUUAAUUGUUAAUAGCAUGCUAUAGAUGUUGCUUAAAUGAACAUGUUUUCACAAAAUCUUCAUUCACAAACAGUGAUGGGACAAUCUACGUUCGUGCAUAUAUAUAUAUAUAUAUAUAAUUUAAUGUGUUUAUUUGUAUAUGAUAUAUGAGUACCCCACUGAUGGAUUUCUUUGCUGUAAUGCUAGAAUUCUUUAAUUUUGAGAAGACAGAGCAGGAUGUUGAGACAUUCACGAAGCUUUCAGAGAAGUGGUAGUUGGUGGCGGAGUGAGCAGGACGUGGAUGUACCUGUGUUUUAUGCUGCCUAGGGUUUGUGCAAGAGACUGCAACCGGGUUUCGCUGUGUAGUGCCUUUUGAUCACAGUUUUUCUUCGGUGGUGCGCUGCCUUGUGGUGUUGUGCAAAAGACUGCAGCGAGGCUUCAUUGUGUAAUUGAUAGGAGCAUAUUUAUGCGACUUAGUUAGCUUGUUUCUUGGCAUUUAUGUUGUUAGUUCGUAGUUAUUUUAGUAUUUUAAGCUAUUUUCGUGUGUUUGUAGGUCCAAAGGGUUAAUGUGGCAAAGAAGUGCAUUUUGGAGCAUUUUUGGGCAUGGAAUGGAUAGCAUAUGCUUGGAGCAAAAGGAAUGGACGAAAUUUGAAGUUUGUGCAUCAUUCUCUCCCUAUAAAUAACCAUUUUAGCACACUUAUUUCACCCAACACAUCCACUCAUUACAACCACCCAACACAUUCACCUACCACUACAUCCACUCAUUUCACCCAACACAUUCACUCAUUACAACCACCCAACACAUUCACUUACCACUACAUCCACUAAUUUCACCCAACACAUCCAUUCACCUACAACUACAUCCACUCAUUUCACCCAACACAUCCACUCAUUUCAACCACCCAACACAUUCACCUACCACUACAUCCACUCAUUACCACCACCCACUACAUCCUCUCCCUAGCCUAUAAAUAUAUCCAUCCAAAGACACAUUUAGGGAGACUGUUUUGGGAGAAGGGAGGAAGACACAUUCUGCCGCAAGGCAGAGUCUUUUCUUCUUAACCAUUCUACACAUUCCCACAACAAAAACACAAUUCCAUGCACCUUCAUUUCCCUUUCCUUGCCGUGACCUCCAUCCAACCUAAACACAUUCAGCCAUUCCCUUCUAUAUAUCUAUAUGCAUCCAUCAAACCACACCUUGUGCCGCAACAAAGAGAAGAAGCAGGACCCUUGGACGUGCUUGCCAUUCAAGUUGGAUUGUUGGAGCGUUUUUAGGUGUUUUCAUUCUUUUGUUUUCAAUGUCUAAAUUUAUUUAUGUUUGCUUUAUGAGUAUGAGGAACUAAACCCCCCUUAGCUAGGGGGGAAUUCAAAGCCAUGAACACACUUGCAAUAUGAAUUGAUUACCUUCAGGUUUGAUUUCAUAAGUUGUGAAUUCAAUUUGUUUAAUUGCUUGAUUGAUAACUUAUUCGUGUAUGUUUAUUAAGAGUGCACACUUAGUUUGCAUGCAUGAAUAUGAUGCUAGAGUAUAAGGGAGUUUCACCUAAUAGUUACAAACUUAUAUUCACAAGUAGUGGAGGUCGCUUAUAAACGAUCGCAUUAAAUGAAUUCUUGGCAGGAGUUUCAUGCUCAUCAUAGUAACGAAUGCCUCGUCAAUACUUAUAGUUUUCAUAGUGCUUAAUGAUCUUUGAUUGUAUCUUUAUUGUGUUAUUCACGAAAAGGACUUUUGAAGAAUGCUUGAAUUGUUGUAUGCGCUUUCCUAUCCAAUUCAAUAACUUAAGGAGAACUUGAAGGUUAAUUUAAGCGGACUUAAUUAACCUGGGGUGUUGAGUUUCAUGAUUUAUCGAAAGAAUAAUUGAAAAUUGGUUUAUGUGCAAGUGUGUCAUGUGUGGAGAAGAACCCUCUAGCUAGCCCAUCAUCCAUAGUUUACCCAAAUUCGUCCAAAAUCUGUUUUAGUUUACAAUAUGUUUGUUUUGUUUUCAAAUUCAUCAAAAUCAAACCCCUCCUUACUUUAAAGUGUUUUAUUAGUCAAAAUUUGUUAUGAUUUGUGUUUUUAAGUGUCUUGAGUCAAGUUAGAACCUAAUUUUGUCCAAAACCAUCCCUAGAGUCAGUUUAGAGUCUAAUUCAUUGUUUUAAGCUGUUUUGUGUCUUUUUAGUUUGUAUUGCAUCUUUUGAGUCUAGUUUGGUGUUUUAACUUACUUUUAUGUUUUUAAGUCAGUUUAGAGGUUAUUAGCAAGCCCUCCUAAUCCCCGGUCCAGAACGAUCCAUACUUACAUUCUUUACUACAAUUGAUACAUGAGGGUUUAAUUUGUGUGUUAAGUAAAAUUCGCACCAAAUUUUUGGCGCCGUUGUCGGGGAUUAGCAACUUUGCUAAUCCCUUGUUAUUUCUUUUUGUAUAUUUUCGUGUCUUUUGUUUUUAGUUACUGACUUUGUUUAUGUUUGUGUUUUUUUUUUGUUUGUUUUACUUUUGAUAUUUGAUUUAGUUUUGUUUCCUUGAUUUCAGGUACUAGAGAAGUAAGACAUGGAUUUUGCUACCAUUCAAGCUCAAUUGGCGAAACUUACUUCUCAAUUGUCACAAUAUCCCGAAAGGACCACAAUGCAAAGUGUCCCUACAUAUGGUGUGUCCUAUGGGCAAGGAUAUCCAACUCAUCAAUGUUCUCAAUUCGCUGCGAAUGAAGAUGCUUGGGGUUAUCAAGGCCAUAACCAAUCAUGGGACAACAUGUUUUCCAACGCUUACAAUUCAGAUUGGAGAGAUUAUUCAGAUUACAUGUGGGGAAAACCUCAACAAUUCCAACAAGAUGGAUAUUGGCAGCAAGAAGAGGAGUUCUAUUCAAGACCUAUGCAGCCACCACAACCUCUUCCACAACAAUUCCAAUCAAAUUCAAGUAUGCCUAUGAGUUAUGAUGAAAUUCUUGAUGUACUAACCUCGUUGACGCAGAGCUCACAACAAGAAGAAUAUUUGCCGCCAUCGGAUGAGUUCUAUCACUGGCCAUAUGAACCAUCACAGCCACCACAACAAUCUGCCCAAUUCAAUUCAGGUACGUCUUUGGAUAAUGAUAUGUUUAAUAAGUUACUCACCUCUUUGAACCAGGAAGUAGAAAAUCGAAACAAAGAGAUACAAAAUCAAGCUAAGAAGACGGAUGAAUUGGAGAAGCAAAUUGGGCAGAUUAUGAAGUUCAUGGCACAAAUUCAAGAGCAAAGUGAACUCUCCAACUCAACUAUUGAAAAUUUGAACGAAGAUUUUGAAAUCCAUGAUGCUAUCACUUUGGGAAGUGCUAUGGAGGUUGGAGGUGAACCCAAGACAUCCAAACAAAGCCAAAACAUGGAUGAACAGCUGCUGCUCGAAGAAGAGGAGAAUAACAAAGCCACGACAAGGGAAGAACCACCCUUGCCGCAGCCCCAUAUGCCCUCUAUGCCAUCCACUACAACCAAGGUAAGCCUAAAUUCAAUUUGUCCUGACCCCGUUUCACUAAAUGUCCUUAUUCCUUGCAGGAUCAUGCAAUCCAAGGAAGAAGAGGGUGAGAAAGGCAUCUUCGAAACCUUUCCAAAGAAUCAAGAGCAAGAAGUGGAUGAGGAAUGUCUAAAAUUCAUCAAAGAAGAUACACUUGAGACGAAAAUUCCCAAAGAAGUUGGAUUUUAUGACAUGGGAAAAGUCAUAACUCUCAAAACACCAAAUCUGGCCAAGUCCCAUAUCCCUGAUGUGGUGUUCGUAAUUGAGUUUGUGUUGGAGCAAGCAAGUAAGCCAUUUCUCCAACUUCGAUUUUAUUAUAUACUAACUUGCUGAUUUUGAUGAUUCAGGCACCUACACUAGAAUUUAAACCAUUGCCGGAUCACGUCAAGUAUCACCUUCCAUUCAAGGAUCAAUUCCAUGCUAUGGGCCCUAUCCAAGUUUAGAAAGAAGUUUCGUCAAGCUGGAAGACGUUAAAGCAAGCGCUUCUUGGGAGGCAACCCAUGUAUUCAAAUAAGGAAGAUUUUUGAAUUGCUCCACGAUUGGUUUUGCGUUCCUAAAAACCUUCCAUUUUCUGCAGUUUUAUUUUGCCAUGAUUGUCAUUUUUAUUUGUUGCUUGUUUAAUUGUUUUUGGUGUGGGUUUAUUUUUGAAACAUUGACAGAUAUGCAAGGUAUUUUACAUUUAUUUUCAUAAAAAAAGGGAACAUUAAGCAGAAAAAUACAAGAGAGAGCCUUCACAAAGGCUGCUUAGGAGAAGUAUCAGUAGUCGGCAGAGCCUUAGCAGUCGGCGGAGCCCCAGAAGGAGGAGGCAUCAGAGGUUGAUCAUUUGGAGCUUCAUUACGCGGUACAGCCCCAGAAGACGAAGGCAAAUGCUGUUGGAAAAAACCCACAAACCUCUGAUGAUCAAGUAAAAUUUGACCAUCAGAUUCCUGCAUCUGGUCAAUCUUCCUCUUCAUGUUUGUAGCAUAGUUAUGUGCGAGCAUGUGCAACUGUUUAUUCUCAUGAUUGAGCCCUCUAAUCUCCUAUUUGAGACUCAUCACUUCAGCCGACAAUGAUUCAACUUGACGGGUUCGAGCAAAUAGACGUUGGGCCAUAUUGGACACAGAACUUGCACACUGCACACUGAGAGCCAGAGAAUCCUUAACAGCCAACUCAUUAGAUCGUUUGAAAAGUAGUCUAUUAUCUUUGGGAGUGACAAGGUUCCGGGCCACCACUACAGCGGUUAUAUCAUUCUUCAUUACUGAAUCCCCAACGGUAAGAGGACCAGUAGGGGAUAUGAAGGAUGGGCGCCAUAUGUUGUCUGGAGAAGGCAUGGAUGCCUCUUCACCAAGGUUCAAGUCAAAACAACGGUCGGAAGGGCCAGACAUUUUCAAAAGGUCGAAAAGUCAAGAUCGUAGAAGUGCAAGAAGGGAGUUUCUACAAGCAGAAAUUCAAGUGUGCGUUGAAACGUACUACAUACCUCUAUAAAAAUCAGCACUCGACGGGAUUUCAGAGAUCGAAGAGGCGAGCUCAGAAAUUGAAGAGGCCAAUUCAAAAAUCGAAUAGGCGCUAGCUUUCUCAAAAGUUGGGCUUGCUCAGAAACCACGGGCCAAUCUUCUUUUCCAGAUUUGUUCGCACUUGUCACAUGCAACCUCUGCACUCGACGGAGCUCAGAACUCGAAGAGGCGAGCUCAGAACUCGAAGAGGCAAGCUCAGAAAUCGGAGAGGCAUCUGCUUUUCCAGAUGUGUCAGCUUCUGUCAUAUACACACUCAGCUUUGCAGAAAUCACGGGCAGUUUGUCGAAGCGCCGAUUUCAGAUAUCGAAAAGGCAUCAACUUUAUCUAGACGUGUCAGCGCCUGUCACAUACACACUCAGCUUUGCGGAAAUCACGGGCAGUUUGUUGAAGCACCGAUUCCAGAUAUCGAAGAGGCAUCAACUUUAUCCAAACGUGUCAGCAUCUGUCACAUACACACUCAGCCUUGCGGAAAUUACGGGCAAUCUGUUGAAGAUUUUUGGUGAAGUAGAAAGCACGUGAAGUUUACUGUUCAAUCAUCCAACAGUUGUCGACAAGAGUGAAAGAAUAGUACCGGUUAUUAUUUCCUAUAAAUGUUGACCUUCACCCUCCAUAGCAAGGCAGACAUACAUAACCUUCCGUCAUCUCCGAGAAUGCCUUCCUAAUGAAGCCUCUCGAGUCACUCAGUGUUCCUUAUUCCUUGGGGUACCUCUAUAAACAACUCAUCCAAAGCAAAAGUAUUUCAUAUCAUGAAGGUUGAAAGCAAGAGUAUCUCAUAUCAUGCUUUCUCCCUAUCCUUCUCAUUGUCGUUGUUUUCAUCUGUGGGACAAGGAGAAAUAGAGCAAUCAGCCAGCACUUGGUAUCAAUCUUCCGAUCUGGAACCGACUGCCUGGAACCCCUUCCUGAUUGCUUACCUAGUCCUGCUCUCGAGUACUCAUCUUCAACAUCUUAUGCUUCUAAUUCGUCUACCACAUCUGCCUGGGGAACAAAUAAGGGAAGUGAAAAUGAUACCUCGAAGCAUGUGGAGACAAUGUGCUAAUUCAUCCUCAGCUAUGGACAAGGAGAAAGAAAGCAAGAGGUGGGCACUUGGAAAGAUUGAAGAAAUAAACAGACCAUCACCUCUACCUCGUGCCUGCCUGCCGUGCAGAAGAAACAAGCAGAGAAGAAUGCAGACUGCACAAUCAAAUAAACCCAGCAGAAUGAGUCUGAUUUGAAACCAAGGAACUCUCACUCAGAAUUCUGAACCAGUUCGAGAUCAAAGCUGUGGAAAGACAACAAGAUCAUCUAUCUCCAAAACCAGAUUUGCGUUCUUAAACUCUACUCUGUCUGGUUUUUACUUUGCCAUACUUGUCAUGUUUAUUCGUUGUUUGUUUGAUUGUUUGCUUGUGUUUGUGUGAGUUUAUGCUUGAAACAUUGAGGACAAUGUUCGAUUUAAGUGUAGGGGGUAACCAAGUUGUUUUGCAUGAAAUUCGUGGGAGUUUAUCACCCAUUACUUCUAAGUGUUGUUCCUUGCUGUUUUUAAGUGUUUUUAAGCUGUUUUGAAGUGCUUUAGUGUGUUUUGACAUAAAAAUCCGAAAAUCUCAUAAAAAUUUGAAAAAUUGUUUUGAAAAACCCAAAAAGAGUUGUUUUUGUGUGUUUGUUUGUGUCUUAGGGUACCUUCCAACACAAUGAUGAGGAUUUGGUUUUUAAUUACAUGACUGUUAAAGAGAGUUAUAAACAUGGAUGAAAAUUUGAUUUACUCUUUGGUGUAUGCUUGGUUGUGGUUAUAAUUUAUGAAUUCACAUGCAAUCAUAAAGGAAAAAUCAGUUUUUGUAACAUGCUUGAAAGAAGGACCUCAAAUGAACGCUACAACCUUGUGAGACUUGAGCCUAAACGUUUAUUUGGAGAGUUAAUAAUUUGUGCAUCAUUGUUUUCUAAAGUCGUUGCAUGAUCUCAUUAUUCUUUGCUUGGUUGCUACUUAGAAGGCGUUUCAUCAUUUAGUUCCAAAUGCUAGAACUCAUGCCUAUUUCAUUCAAAGCAUGUUAUUGAUUUGCAUAACACAUAUUCAAGAUGAAGUUGUGUAGUGACCACCAAAGCCAAAUUGCCGUGCCCCUAUUUCAUUAUGUGUUUAAGUUUAACCCCGUUGAGCCUUGUUAAGCCUAUGUUCUUUGUUAACCCACACUAUCCUUACCUAGCCUAGUGUUAGGACCAUCCAUACCCUUGUUCUUGAAGCAUAGUAAAGCAUGACUUAAAAUGAACUCCUUUUUUUAUCAAUGUAUUGCAGAAAGCAAGUGUGGGGGAAGUGAUUCUUGUGUGUGUGUGUGUGUGUGUGCCAAAGUCCUUAAUAAGGCACGGGUAGAAAAGAAAAAAAAAAGAAUUGAAAAAAAAAAGUAUGAAAAGAGCUCUAAAGUGUUGUUUGUUAAAGAAAGGGUUCAAAACAUUGAAUUCGGCCCUAAGUGUUGCAUAAAUGUUCCCUUUGUAAUUAAAAGUUGAUUCUGCAUUCUAAAGUGAUUUCCAAGUGUCUAUUUCAUUGCUUUGCUUGCUAUCGCUUUAAGAACGUUUGUUAUCCCUAUUCUUUCUUUGUUAGCCAUUACCCCCAAGCCCUGUUACAUCCCUUGACUUCAAUCUUGAGUGUUGUGUGUUUCAAUUUGUGGAGUUCGAAAUUGGUAUGAGCAUAUGGUGUCACUGGUUCUCGCAUCUAAGUCGUAGCAUUCCAUUCAUGAGAUCAUAUCUAAACAUGCUUAAUAACUCCAGAAAAUUACUUUCUUUGUUAUAACAUAUGUGAGUCCUAAUCUUUCAUGUUUACAUCAAUCUUCUCACAUAUACUAGUAUAGGGUGUGUAGUCAGAAAAUGUGUGUGAAAAUAGAGAGUAUCUUGUAAGGAAUUGAGCAAAUUCUCUAAGGCAUGUUACUACAUUCAAAACAUUGUUUUAAUUGGUUAAUUGUAAACUAGUAAGUGGUGACUGUGAUUAAGUAUGUGCUCAAGUGUAAGGAUGACCAAAAUAUAUGGGAAUGAUGAUUUUUAACACAUCAUGUUUCAUUAAAAAUCCCUGAGGCAAUUGUUGGAAGGUCUAUGUUGUGUUUUGUUUUGUUUUGUUUUGCUCGAGGACUAGCAAAAGCUAAGUGUGGGGGAAUUUGAUAGGAGCAUAUUUAUGCGACUUAGUUAGCUUGUUUCUUGGCAUUUAUGUUGUUAGUUCGUAGUUAUUUUAGUAUUUUAAGCUAUUUUCGUGUGUUUGUAGGUCCAAAGGGUUAAUGUGGCAAAGAAGUGCAUUUUGGAGCAUUUUUGGGCAUGGAAUGGAUAGCACAUGCUUGGAGCAAAAGGAAUGGACGAAAUUUGAAGUUUGUGCAUCAUCCUCUCCCUAUAAAUAACCAUUUUAGCACACUCAUUUCACCCAACACAUCCACUCAUUACAACCACCCAACACAUUCACCUACCACUACAUCUACUCAUUUCACCCAACACAUCCAUUCACCUACCAUUACAUCCACUCAUUUCACCCAACACAUCCACUCAUUACAACCACCCAACACAUUCACCUACCACUACAUCCACUAAUUUCACCCAACAUAUCCAUUCACCUACCACUACAUCCACUCAUUUCACCCAACACAUCCACUCAUUUCACCCAACACAUUCACCUACCACUACAUCCACUCAUUACCACCACCCACUACAUCCUCUCCCUAGCCUAUAAAUAUAUCCAUCCAAAGACACAUUUGGGGAGACAGUUUUGGGAGAAGGGAGGAAGACACAUUCUGCCGCAAGGCAGAGUCUUUUCUUCUUAACCAUUCUACACAUUCCCACAACAAAAACACAAUUCCAUGCACCUUCAUUUCCCUUUCCUUGCCGUGACCUCCAUCCAACCUAAACACAUUCAGCCAUUCCCUUCCAUAUAUCUAUAUGCAUCCAUCAAACCACACCUUGUGCCGCAACAAAGAGAAGAAGCAGGACCCUUGGACGUGCUUGCCAUUCAAGUUGGAUUGUUGGAGCUUUUUUAGGUGUUUUCAUUCUUUUGUUUUCAAUGUCUAAAUUUGUUUAUGUUUGCUUUGUGAGUAUGAGGAACUAAACCCCCCUUAGCUAGGGGGAAUUCAAAGCCAUAAACAUACUUGCAAUAUGAAUUGAUUACCUUCAGGUUUGAUUCCAUAAGUUGUGAAUUCAAUUUGUUUAACUGCUUGAUUGAUAACUUAUUCGUGUAUGUUUAUUAAGAGUGCACACUUAGUUUGCAUGCAUGAAUAUGAUGCUAGAGUAUAAGGGAGUUUCACCUAAUAGUUACAAACUUAUAUUCACAAGUAGUGGAGGUCGCUUAUAAACGAUCGCGUUAAAUGAAUUCUUGGUAGGAGUUUCAUGCUCAUCAUAGUAACGAAUGCCUCGUCAAUACUUAUAGUUUUCAUAAUGCUUAAUGAUCUUUGAUUGUAUCUUUAUUGUGCUAUUCACGAAAAGGACUUUUGAAGAAUGCUUGAAUUGUUGUAUGCGCUUUCCCAUCCAAUUCAAUAACUUAAGGAGAACUUGAUGGUUAUUUUAAGCGGACUUAAUUAACUUGGGGUGUUGAGUUUCAUGAUUUAUCGAAAGAACAACUGAAAAUUGGUUUAUGUGCAAGUGUGUCAUGUGUGGAGAAGAACCCUCUAGCUAGCCCAUCAUCCAUAGUUUACCCAAAUUCGUCCAAAAUCUGUUUUAGUUUACAAUCUAUUUGUUUUGUUUUCAAAUUCGUCAAAAUCAAAUCCCCCUUUACUUUAAAGUGUUUUAUUAGUCAAAAUCUGUUUUGAUUUGUGUUUUUAAGUGUCUUGAGUCAAGUUAGAACCUAAUUUCGUCCAAAACCAUCCCUAGAGUCAGUUUAGAGUCUAAUUCAUUGUUUUAAGCUGUUUUGAGUCUUUUUAGUUUGUAUUGCAUCAUUUGAGUCUAGUUUGGUGUUUUAUACUUACUUUUAUGUUUUUAAGUCAGUUUAGAGGUUAUUAGCAAGCCCUCCUAAUCCCCGGUCCAGAACGAUCCCUACUUACAUUCUUAACUACAAUUGAUACAAGAUGGUUUAAUUUGUGUGUUAAGUAAAAUUCGCACCAGUAAUGCCUUUUGGUCACAGUUUUCCCUUGGUGGUGAUGUUGCCGUGCACAUUGACUUUGCUUCUUGCCGUGAGCUUUUUGUCGUUGCUGCUUGGAGCUUGUUCCAGUGCGUCACUUUUACCAUGUGGGGUUAUGCAAAAGAUUGUAGCGAGUUUAUGUUGUGUAGUGCCUUUUGGUCACAACUUUCCUCGGUGGUGAAGUUGUCGUGCACAUUGACUUUGCUGCUUGCCGUGGGCUUUAUAGCCGUUGCUGCUUGGAGCUUGUUCCAGUGCGUCAUUUUUACCAUGUGGGGUUGUGCAAAAGACUACAACGAGUUUAUGUUGUGUAGUGCCUUUUGGUCACAACUUUCUUCGGUGGUGACGUUGGUGUGAUGCUCACCUUUGUAAUACGACUUUGUAACCAAAUCAUUCCUUUAAAGAAAUAAAGUAUUCAUAUUUUGAAUUUGCUUUUUAUUGUUCAAAGUGUUUGUGUUUUUGUUGGAGAUGUGACUGUACUCGAAGUUUUGAAGUUUCAAGUUGCCUACGUAUCCUCGGUUGAGGAAGGAUCAAGUUAUAACGUAGUUCAAAUGCAUUUUUUUUUAGAUGGUGUGACUGUACUUGAAGUUUUGACAUUUCAAGUUGCCUACGUACCCUCGGUUGAGUAAGGAUCAAGUCAUGACGUAGUUCAAAUGAGCGAUGAAUAUUUUUUUUAAUGGUUUUAGUGGUGAUUUUGAUGAUGAUUUUGCCGUACACAGUUUAUGCUCUUGCAGGACAGGAGCGUUGGUUUGUGCGAACAAGAAGCAUUAUGCUGCCUCCUCAGGCGUUGUAUUGUUUUGAGUUACGAAACUCUAUGCAAGUGCGGAGUUGCCCUGAUUUUUUUAGGGCAACAUUUAAGUUCCGUCCCGAGUCCAUGACCUCUUGAAUUAAAUCAGCUUCAAUCAUGUUGACAAUCUUAGCUUCAUCUAGGCUUGAAAGUGUAUUAACAAUGGUUUCUUGCCCACUUUUCGACCAGUGAAUUUGUGGAUGCAACGUAGGCUUCGUGUGUAAUUUCUUUAGAGUGACAUGAGUCAAUCCUUCAACUUUGCUUGACUUGGAGCAUGCCCCCGGCAGUUGUGGUGAAGACUUUGAGUCGAAAGAGCCAGAAGUGACGUCUUCCUUAGGGAUUUCAUCUUCUUUGUUUUCUUAGAUCGUGACGGGGAAGAUGUUUUAGACCUCCCCUUUAGUGCCGUCCUCUUGGGCUUGUUGGCAUGAAGAUUGUCCAGUGUGGAUGAUAGUGCGCCUUCUCACUUUCAAUGGUCCAUUUGUGUCAACCUCCAAGAUUGCUUGGCGCUUCAUCCUUGAAGGAAUUGAGCUUCGAAUAUCGCAUUUUUCUGCUAGCCCGUUGAGCUUUUCUUCCUUUGACGUUGUCUCCCUAUUUCUAGAAAGCUUCUUAUUGUCUUCAAGUUUUUCCAAGGCUGACCGACGAAGAGGAGAGCUAGCCGUGUUGCUUUGCUUCUUAGGUUUUGACAACCUUUAAAAAACAGAGCUUCGAGAUGUUGGUAUGUUAAGCCUCUUGAAAACGGAAGUUCGGUUCUGACCACCAAUGCGAUUAAGUGCUGAAAUUCUGGGCCUUGAACACUGCAUCCUAUCGAAGACUGACGUCCGAGGGGUGGAUUUAGGUUCCUCUUGAUCGUGUUCAAUGCUCACGCUGAUGUGUUGAGUGCUAGCAUUUUUCACUUUGCUUGAAAUCUUCAUGGGUGCAUUUGGUGUGAAGCCAAGUCCAGCUUUGUUAUUGUCAACUCUGUAACCAUGCUUCUUCAACUUUUUUUAAGUCUUGGUGAGGUUACAUUCUUUGUCAUUGACGGUGUUUGAAAAUUUCUUUCCAGGACUUGACGAGGAGGCGAAGUCGUACCCAGCCUUAGACAUGAGUUUGUAAGCGUUUGGAUCAAAACCUUAUUCAGUCCUUUUGGUUGGAAGAAAGCUUGGUUCCAUCUCUUUUGGCAGAGCUUUUAUGAAGCUUUGUGGUAGUCCUGUAGCCUUAGCGUCGUUUAGCUGUGUUAAGGGCAAAAUUGCAUUCGUCUUGUGCAACUUUACGUUAUCCUUGUGCCGCUGUGCAUCGGCUUUGCUUACUCCAGUUUCAAACGGGGAUUGACCAUUCUUUCUUCUUGACAUCAGGAUGUAUCGGAAGACGGGUGUGCUUAGUUCAUUUGAGGGCAUCCUAUUCCCUUUGGUUGUUGCAGGUUUAGCAGGCUCAUCAUCAUUUUUGCUUGAAGAUGGCGUAGCUUUUCCUUCUUGCUUUUUGGGCAUGGCUUGCCACUUCUGCUUUUUAGGUGUUGCUUUGAUCAUGGAUUUGAUCUAUUCUAGAAGAGCUUCGGGCACCAUGUCUUCUUCCAUGUAAAACUUGGCGUAUGCGAAGUGUGAUUCGGCUUCGGUGAAUGUCUUGGUAUCACCUUGGAUCGCCUUUACUCAUUCCUGGUAGAAUUUUAAGCAUUGGUGGAGGGUGGAUGACACUACUCCAUUCUCGUGGAUCCAAGGCCUUCCUAGCAUCAAGCUGUAGGAGGUUCUUGCAUCAAUCACGUGGAAUAUUAUGCUUGAUUUGAGUUCUCUAAUGGUCAUUUCCACUCGGAUCAUGGCCAUCGCCCUUUCUCUUCCUUGGUUAAAACCCUGGAUUAGCAGACAGCUUAGGGACAGUUCAUCCACCUUGAUGCCGAUUGUGGUCAUUGUUGACUUUGGCAUGAUGUUUAUGGCUGACCCAUCAUCUACAAGCAUGCGAUUGACUUUGUGCUCCCUUACGAACCCCGAGACAAAGAGAUGAUGGUUGUGAGGCUUUGAUCCUAGCAGUAAGUCUUCGUCAGUGAAGUUGAUUGCGUCUUGGGCAGCACAACAAGUGGCAUACUCAUGUGGUCGAAGUUUCAAGCCUUUGUCCUUGCUUUCUUGUGCUUCGUGGUCAUUGGGACUCGCCAAGACCGCUGCUAGUGCUUUUCGCAUCUUCUUUGGUAAUCGUAGCACUUCCUCGAUGCUAAAGUGUAUCGGCAUACCUUCUUUAGAUGUGAGGGCAAUUUCUCCUUCGAUGGCGAUGGCUUUGCCUUUUGAAGGUUCUUCCAUUUCUACUUCGACCAUGUGACAUGCAGCGAUAUUGCACUGUUGGAAGAAGUCAUUCGGGAAGUACUAGUGCAAGGAGACUGGAAUGCGUGGCUCUUACUCCAUAGGUUCCCCAGCAUACGUUGGCUUGGCAGCUUUUACGUUUCUUUUAGGCUUCCUACUGUUGCGGCGACGGUGCUUUCACCCUUGUUCCAGCCUUAUGGCUUGUGGUUUUGGUUUCCUUAUUUUUUUGUAGGUCACCAAUGUCUAUCCUUCUUCAUCAUCGGUAUGUGCAUCUUGGUCGCUUGCUCCCAGUGAUGGUUGUGCAGAAGGUGCCGUGCAACUUGAGCAUUGACGGAAAUGGUUAGGUGUCACUUAGUGAGGCACGGGAUCGAAUGAUCCAAAUGCAAUUGUAGUAGUAUGUGUUGCUGCCGUGUCUUCAAGGUCAAGCUCAAUUUUCCCUUGUUGAGCUAGCUUCAUGUUGAGUUUUUUGAGGACGAAGCACUUGCUAACAGGAUGGCUCAUGAUACAAUGGUACUUGCAGUACCUAGGACCGUUUACGCGAUUUAUCUCUUCAGGGUGCUUGCAUUCCGGUAACUCGAUCACCUUCUUUUUCAGCAAGUCGUUUUAACAUUGCAUCCAUGUCUGAGUUAGGAAAAGGGUACACCUUCUGCUCCAAUUCCAUCAAGGUGUUUUUGUACCUGUCUAGGGUGCGAGGAGGCUCACCUCUCUUUAUCUCCUUUGCUUUGGUCUUGGAGGAGAUCUUGAUAGGCGCGGAUGAGGUCUUGAUGGGCGUAGUGUUGACGGUGAACGCUUCUAUGUGAGGCUUCUUCCCAGUCUUGUCUACAUUUGGGGAGAACACCUUAUCCUUCUUGAAGUCAGUGAUCAGCUAUUUCUUCCCGUGAUUGGCGAUACUUAGCUCAAUGUCGUGGGAACAGGUUGCUAGCUCCUCAAACGUUCUUGGUUUUAUGCCCUGAAGGAUGUAAUGUAACCCCUAGUGCAUGCCUUGAACGCACAUCUCAAUGGCGGAGGUUUCAGAAAGCCAAUAUUUGCAAUCCAGACUUAACGAACAUCAUCUAUUGAUGUAGUCGACGACUGGUUCAUCCUUCCAUUGUUUCGUACUGGUCAGCUCCAGCAUGCUUACAGUGUGGCGCGUGUUGUAGAAGCGGUUGAGGAAUUCCCUUUCUAGUUGAUCCCAACUAUUGACACAUUCGGGCUCGAGGUCGGUGUACUAGUCAAAGGCGUUACCUUUCAACGAGCGCACAAAUUGCUUGACGAGGUAGUCUCCCUUCGUCCUGGCAUUGUUGCAGGUUUCAAUGAAAUGGGCGACAUGUUGUUUUAGGUUUCCCUUUCCAUCGAACUGCAUGAAUUUUGAUGGCUGAUAACCCUUCGACAUUUUCAAAUCCUUAAUCUUCUUAGAGUAAGGCUUUGAGUAUAGUACAAAGUCAUGUGAGCUUCCUUCGUACUAGGCCUUGAUGGUGCUGACAAUCAUCUCCUGCAGCUGCUGGAUAAAAAGAGAUCCCAUGAGUGCUGCUACUUGGUCUGGCUCUAGAUUAUCUUUGAUUUUCUCCACUGGAGGCUCCUCUUUUUCAUCGGCUCAUUUCUUUAGUGGAUCAACCCCUGGCUCGACUUUCACGUCGAGCUUCGCAUCUAGUUGGUUGAUGAGUACGGCGAUUUACAAGUCUUUAUCCUUCACAGUCCGUGUGAGUUUUGCGAUCACUUCAUUCAUUUGAGCCAGCUGCUCAUCAAUUGAAGUUGCUCCAGUAGUCAUGACUUGCAUGGUUAUGUUGCUGCUUGAGUCGACAUCGGAAAGUAAGGCCUCUGAGUACUUCCUUGGGCCUUCCUCUCUUGGCACCCUUAGCGAGGCCAGGGUGAUCACGGGCUCGUGCCACGGGUGCUCUUGUUCCUUCGGUGGAGUUGACGCAGGGGUGGAAGAGGUGGAAAAAAGAGCUCUUGCCUUGCUUCGAGUUGUGACGUCCGAAGUGACACCAUCUGCGGUGAUGACGCUUUUAUUCUUUGCAUUGGUUGCGAGAACAUCUUGAAUCUUCUUUGAUGCCAUUUGCGCUUUUUGCGGAUUCGAAGAUAGAGAUGAGAGGUAGAGAUAGUCCCACUGGGCGUGCCAAAUUUGUAAACACGAAAAUUCUUGCAAUGAAUGAGACAAGAACACGUGUACAAAAUAAUAUUUGUAUUAAUGAUUUAGAGGUUACAAUCUUUUCUACAAAUUUAGCCUCUGAUUCGAUCUUUGUAAUAUGUAGAUUUGUGGAUUGUGCUGUUGGUCCAAAGGGCCUUCGAGGCUUGAUCUUAGGAUGAACCGGUGAUGAACGAUGAACGCUUUCUUCAAGGGGUCGUCGGGGCAUGAUCUUGAAUUGGUGGAAGUUUUCAAGGGCCGUUGGGGCUUGAUCUUGAAUGAGGAUUUGGUGGAAGUUCCUCAAGGGCCGUUGGGGCUUGAUCUUGAAGGAAGAUUUGGAAGUCGUCAAGGGUCGUUGGGGCUUGAUCUUGAAGGAAGAUCUUGAAGGAAGAUUUGACGAAGUUCCUCAAGGGUUGUUGGGGCUUGAUCUUGAAGGAAUAUUUGACGAAGAACGAAGAGAGCUUUCUUGAUCCUUCGAGAUUUGCUUGAGAGCUUUGGAGUUUCAAGGCUUCAAGGUUUUGGUGUGAUGUGAAUUCGUCUUUUUUUUUAUAUCCUUUGAUGGAUAAACCUAUUUAUAGGCUUUGAGAAUGAAUCACCACCAUCCAUUUUUUUGGUGAAGUGAGUGGAUGUUGUAGGUGAAGUGAGUGGUUGUUGUAGGUGAAGUGAGUGUAUGAUGUUGGUGAAAUGAGUGAAGGUUGUAGGUGAAGUGAGUGUAUGAUGUUGAUGAAAUGAAUAAAGGUUGUAAUUUUAAUGCAUUAGUCAACAUUUAUUUCACUGAAAUUUCGAUGUCUACAGCCCGUUUAUAAUGUAACCUCCCGCACCCUAUGCUCACAUUGGAUCCAAUUUAGGUGCACAGUCUUGUCGUACAGACCAUCAUAGGUGGUUUCUGAAGGAAAAAUUUUGUCUUAGCAAAGAACAUGUGAGAAUAUUUGAACACAUAUGCAAACUAUUAACAUAUUAAAGUAGGCAUGCAUUCAAAAACAAUUCUAAAACCCAUGACUUUCAAAGCCUAGUGAAUGGUGAACCAUGAGACUCUUCAACAACAUUAAAGAGAAGGAAGGAUUUAGAGAUUCAUUACCCCUGAAGCUCAUCCUUGUUUACACAAGGGAUUUGAUAAGCUCAUAUUUAUAUAUAUUUUACAUAAAAUUCACUUGUCUUUUCUUAGUUAGUUCCUUAUAUUUUUGAGCUAUUUACUAUGUUUUUGUGUUUUGUGUGAUUUAUCAAGCAAAGAAAAGAAAAGUAGCACAAGUGAAUUAUUAAGUAACAAAUUCGUCAAAACUGCCUGUGCAGAUUAUCUGACUUUGGAAGCAUGUUACAAACAGCUCAGAAUGAAUGGGUGAAUGAUCCUUAUAUGCGUGGAAAGCUACGGAUGUCUAUUUUCUGGAGCAAUUUACGGAUUGUUAAUCUCAUUUUUCUAGAAGAAGUUAUGGGCAUUGUAACACUGAAAGGUCAGAAAAGGGCUAAGCAGAUUUGGCUAAUAAAAAGAGAAAGGCAACACAUGGGCAAAGGAAACACACACACAUGGGCAGAAAAUGGGUGGAUUGUUGGCUGAAAUAAUGAAGAACAUGUGUCUGCAAAUGCAAAGGAAAAAAACACACACACAUGGGCAAAGGAAACACACACACACACAUGGGUAGGAAUUGUGGGUGUUUGGUGGUUGAAAUGAUGAAGCAUGUGUGUGUAAAUGUAAAGGAAAACAUGGCAGAAAAUGUGUGUGUUUGGUGGUUGAAAUGAUGAAGCAUGUGUGUGUAAAUGUAAAGGGGAAACAUGACAACUCACACCCACACAAGAUGCACAUGCAAAGGAAAUGGAGUGGUCCUCUCUCAAGCCUAUAAAAUACCACCUCCCAUAUUCAUCAACACAACAGAUUUUGAUCCUUGUUUGGCCGAAAAUUCCCACCUCCAUUCUCUCCAAAUUCAGCCAAAAACCACCCCUAGCCACACCACCCAUCAAUCCUAAACCUUUCCAUACCAUUCCCCAUCCAUUCUACACCAUAAAAACCACCCAAAACCGUCCAAAACCUCUAGUGCCGCUGCUUGCAAGGAAGGAAAGAGAAGGAACAUCUUGUGCCGUGCCUAUGCCCAAGCCUUGGGAGUGUUGGAGCGUUUCUAGGUGUUUUCUAUCUUUGUUUUUAAUGUCUAAAUUUAUGCAUCUUUGCUUUGUAAGUAUGAGGAACUAAACCCCUAUUAGUUAGGGGGUGAUUCGAAACUAUGUUCAUGCUUGCAAUAUGAUUUGAUUACAUCCAGUUGUGAUUCAUAAGUUGUGAAUUCAAUUUAGUUAUCCGUUCGUAUAAAAACUGAUUUAUGUAUGUUGGUUGAGAGUGCACGCUUAAUUUUCAUGCAUGAAUUUGACGCUAGAAUAUAAGGGAGUUUCACCUAAUCGUUAUGAACUUAUAUUCACAAGUAGUGAAGGUUGCUAGUCACAAUCACGUUAAGUAAAUUCUUGGCAUAAGUUUCAUGCAAAUCAUAGUAACGAGUGCCUCGUCAAUGCUUAUGUUUUUCAUAGAACUUAAUGAUUCUUGCUUGUAUCUCUAUUAUGCAAUUGAAAAUUCGAGAGCAGAGUGAACUCCCCAACUCAACUAUUGAAAAUUUGAAGGAAGAUUUUGAAAUCCAUGAUGCUAUCACUUUGAGAAGUGCUAUGGAGGUUGAAGCUAACCUAAAAACAUCCAAACAUAGCCUAGAAGUGGAUGAGGAGCUGCUGAUUGAGGAGGAGGAAGAAGACAUACACACGGAAAGGGUAGAACAACCCUUGUCGCAGCCCCUUAAGCCCUCUAAACCACCCACCACAAGUAAGGACGUCCCAAUUUCAUUUCAUUCUAAUGUUAUUCCUCCGAACGUCCCUUUUCCUCUUAGGUUUUUGAUUCCCAAGAAAGAAGAGAGUGAAAAAGACAUCGUGGAAGCCUUCCCAAAGGUGCAAAAUGAUAUUCCAAUUCUUGGUGCAACAAAUCAAGUUCCAGAUUGUGUUGAAAUAUUCAAAGGACCUUGUACACCAAGAAGAAUGAUUCAAGAGAAAGUAGUGGCUGGAGAAGAUGUAGAAUGCAUCAAAGAGGAUGUGCUUGAGACAACCAUUCCUAAAGAAGUUGAAUUUUAUGCAAUGGGACAAGUCCCAACCAUCACAUUCAAUCUGGCCAAGUCCAAUAUCCCUGAAACUUUCAAAUAUGUGGUGUUUGUGUCUCCAAUUUUACAUACGUUUUCCACUAACUUGCUGAUUUUGAUGAUUCAGGCACCCAUACUAGAAUUUACACCAUUGCCGGAUCACUUCAAGUAUCACCUUCCAUUCGAAGAUCACUUCCAUGGAACCUAGGGGAAUGGGACAGGAGGUAUCGUCCGGCUGCAAGACGUUAAAGAAAGCGCUUCUUGGGAGGCAACCCAUGUAUUCAAAAAAGGAAGAUCUAUGAAUCGCUCUACAAUCAGUUUUGCGUUUCUAAAAACCUUCACUUUUCUGCAUUUCUAUUUUGCCAUGAUUGUCAUUUUUUUAUUUUUGUUGUUUAUUUAAUUAUUUUUGGGUGCGGGUUUAUUUUUGAAACAUUGAUAGAUAUGCAAGAUAUUCUUACAUUCAUUUUCAUGAAAAAAAAAAAGGAACAUUAAGCAAGAAAUUAUAAGAGGGAGCCUUCACAAAGGCUGCUUAGGAGAAGUAUCAGUAGUUGGCGGAGCCUCAGCAGUUGGCGGAGCCCCAGAAGGAGGAGGCAGUAGAGGUUGAUCAUUUGGAGCUUCAGUACGCGGUACAGCCCUAGAAGACGAAGGCAAAUGCUGUUGGAACAAGCCCACAAACCUCUGAUGAUCAAGUAAGAUCUGACCAUCAGAUUCCUGCAUCUGGUGAAUUUUCCUCUUCAUGUUUGUGGCAUAGUUGUGUGCGAGCUUGUGCAAUUGUUUAUUUUCAUGCUUAAGCCCUCUAAUCUCCUGCUUAAGACUUAUCACUUCAGCCGCCAAUGAUUCAACUUGACGGGUUCGGGCAAAUAGGAGUUGGGCCAUAUUGGACACGGAACCUGCGCACUGCACACUGAGAGCCAAAGAUUCCUUAACAGCCAGCUCAUCAGACCAUUUGGCAAGUAAUCUGUUAUCUUUGGGAGUGACAAGGUUCCUGGCCACCACCGCAGCUGUCAUAUCAUUCUUCAUCACCGAAUCCCCAACGGUAAGGGGACCAGUGGGGGAUAUGAAGGAUGGGCGCCAUAUGUUGUCUGGAGAAGGCGGGGCUACCUCUUCACCAAGGUUCAAGUCAAAACGACGGUCGGAAGGGCCAGACAUUUUUCAGAGGUGUUAAAGAAAGAGGAGAUCGGACAAGUCAAGAUCGUAGAAGUGCAAAACGGGAGUUCUUACAGGCAGAAAUUCAAGUGUGCUUUGAACGUCCUGCAUACCUCUAUAAAAAUCAGCACGCGAUGGGAUUUUAGAGAUCGAAGGGGCGAGCUCAGAAAUCGAAGAAGCCAAUUCAGAAAUCGAAGAGGCGCCAACUUUCUCAAAAGUUGGGCUUACUCACAAACCACCGAUUUCAGAUAUCAAAGAGUGUCAGCUUUCUCAGCCUCGUCAGCACCCGUCACACGCAAACUCAGCUUUGCGAAAAUCACGGGCAGUUUUUCGAAACGCCGAUUCCAACCAUCUGUCUCUCUCAGCCUCGUCAGCUUUGAGGAAAUCACGGGCAAUCUGUCGACGAUUUCUGCUGAAGUAGAAAACACGUGAAGUUUACUGUUCAAUCAUUAAACGGUUGCCGACAGGAGUGAAAGGACAGUACCGGUUAUUAUUUCCUAUAAAUGUCGACCUUUACCCACCAUGGCAAGGCAGACAUACAUAACCUUCCUUCAUCUCCGAGAAUGCCUUUCCAACAAACCCUCUCGAGUCACUCAGUGUUCCUUAUUCCUUGGGGUACCUCUGCAAACAACCUAUCCAAAGAAAAAGUAUUUCAUAUCAUGAAGGUUGAAAGCAAGAGUAUCUCAUAUCAUGCAUUCUCCAUGUCCUUUUCCUUGUCUUUGUUCUAACCUGCAGGACAUGGAGAAAUUGCUCUCGAGUACUCGUCUUCCACUGCUGAUGUACUUCCAAAGAAGCUGCCACAUCUACCUGAAGAACAGAUAAGGCAAGCGAAAAUGAUACCAGCAGCAUGUGGAGACAACGUGCAGAAGAAACAAGCAGAGAAGAAUGCAGCUUGCACAAUCAACCCAGCAUAAGGAGUCUGAGUUGAAGAACUAGAGAAGCUGCCACAUCUGCUUGGAGAACAAAUAAGGAAUUGAGCCUGCACAAUCAACUCGAGAGCAGAAGGAGUCUGAGUUGAAGAACUCAAGAAGCUUCAACAACAUCGCCAAAGAGCAAAGCUUCGCCGUACAAUUCCAAUCCAGUUCAAGAUCAAAGCUGUGGAAAGGUAACAAGAUCAUCUACCUCCAUAACCAGAUUUGUGUUCCUAAACUCUACUCUUUCUUGUUUUUACCUUGCUAUACUUGUCAUGUUUAUUCGUUAUUUGUUUAUUUGCUUGUUUUUGUGUGAGUUUAUACUUGAAACAUUGAGGACAAUGUUUGAUUUAAGUGUGGGGGGGGUAACCAUUGUUUUGCAUGAAAGUCGUAGGAGUUUAUCACCCAUUACUUCUAAUGUUGUUCCUUGCUCUUUUAAGUGUUUUUAAGCUGUUUUGAAGUGUUUUAGUUUGUUUUGAUAUAAAAAUCCGAAAAUCUCAUAAAAAUUUGAAAAAAAUUGUUUUGAAAAACCUAAAAAGAGUUGUUUUUGUAUGUUUAUUUGUGUCUUAGGGUACCUUCCAACACAAUGAUGAGGAUUUGGUUUUUAAUUACAUGACUGUUAAAGAGAGUUAUAAACAUGGAUGAACAUUUGAUUUACUCUUUGGUGUAUGCUUGGUUGUGGUUAUAAUUUAUGAAUUCACAUGCAAUCAUAAAGGAAAAAUUAGUUUUUGUAACAUGCUUGAAGGAAGGAACUCAAACAAACGCUACAACCUUGUGAGACUUGAGCCUAAACGUUAUUUGGAGAGUUGAUAAUCUGUGCAUUAUUGUUUUCUAAGUCGUUGCAUGAUCUCAUUAUUCUUUGCUUGGUUACUACUUAGAAGGCGUUUCAUCAUUUAGUUCCAAAUGCUAGAACUCAUGCCCAUUUCAUUCAAAGCAUGAUAUUGAUUUGCAUAACACAUAUUCAAGAUGAAGUUGUGUAGUUACCACCACCAAAGCCAAAUUGCCGUGUAUCCUACUUCAUUAUAUGUUUAAGUUAACCCCAUUGAGCCUUGUUAGCCUACGUUCUUUGUUAACCCACGUUAUCCUCACCUAGCCUAGAUUAGGACCAUCCAUACCUUUGUUCUUAAAGCAUAGUAAAGCAUGAUUCAAAUUGAAUUCCUUGUGAUUAUGUACGGCAGAAAAUAAGUGUGGGGGAAGUGUUUCUCAUGUAAGUAGUGUGCCAUAGGCACGGGUGGAAAGAAAAAAAAAAAUAUAAAAAAAAAAAAAAAAGAAAAAAAAAAAAAAAAGAAAAAAAAAGUUGAAAUUUGACCCUAAGAGUUGUUUAAAUCUUUCCCUUACGUCUAAAAGUUGAUUUCUGCAAUCUAAGUGAAUUAUAAGUUCAAGUUCAUUAUUUUAUUUGCUAUUGCUUUAAGAACGUUUGUUUUCCCUUACCUUCAUUUGUUAGCCAACACCCCAAGCCCGUUACAACCUUUGACUUCAAUCUUGAGUGUUAUGUGUUUCAAUUUGUGGAGUUUGAAUUUGGUAUGAGCAUAUGGUAUCACUGGUUCUCGCAUCUAAGUAGUAGCAUUCCAUUCAUGAGAUCAUAUCUAAACAUGCUUAAUUAACUCUAGAAAUCGCUUUCUUUGUGAAUACAUAUAUGUGAGCGUUCGUUUUCAUGUUUACAUCAAUCUUCUCACAUAUAACUAGUAUAGGGUGUGUAGUUAGAAAAUCUGAGUGAAAAUUGAGUGAAUAUCUUGUAAGGACUUGAGCAAAUUCUCUAAGGCAUGUUACUACAUUCAAAAUCAUAUUUUAAUUGGUAAAAUGUGAACUAGUACGUGGUGACUAUGAUUAAGUAUGUGCUUAAGUGUGAAGAUGACUCAAAUCUGUGGGGAUAAUGAUUUUUAACAUGUCAUGUGCGUUCGAAAUCCCUAAGGCAAACGUUGGAAGGUUUAGGUUGUGUUUUGUUUUCUUUAUUUUGCUCGAGGACUAGCAAAAGCUAAGUGUGGGGGUAUUUGAUAAGCUCAUAUUUAUAUAUAUUUUACAUAAAAUUCACUUGUCUUUUCUUAGUUAGUUCCUUAUAUUUUUGAGCUAUUUACUAUGUUUUUGUGUUUUGUGUGAUUUAUCAAUCAAAGAAAAGAAAAGUAGCACAAGUGAAUUAUUAAGUAACAAAUUCGUCAAAACUGCCUGUGCAGAUUAUCUGACUUUGGAAGCAUGUUACAAACUGCUCAGAAUGAAUGGGUGAAUGAUCCUUAUAUGUGUGGAAAGCUACAGAUGUCUAUUUUCUGGAUCAAUUUACGGAUUGUUAAUCUCAUUUUUCUAGAAGAAGUUAUGGGCAUUGUAACACUGAAAGGUCAGAAAAGGGCUAAGCAGAUUUGGCUAAUAAAAAGAGAAAGGCAACACAUGGGCAAAGGAAACANAGUAGUAGCAUUCCCAUUCAUGAGAUCAUAUCUAAACAUGCUUAAUAACUCCAGAAAUGCUUUCUUUGUAAUACAUAUAUGUGAGCGUUCGUUUUCAUAUUUACAUCAAUCUUCUCACAUAUAAUAGUAUAGGGUGUGUAGUUAGAAAAUCUGAGUGAAAAUUGAGUGCAUAUCUAGUAAGGAUUGAGCAAAUUCUCUAAGGCAUGUUACUACAUUCAAAAUCAUAUGUUUAAUUGGUUAAAUGUGAACUAGUAAGUGGUGACUAUUGAUUAAGUAUGUUGCUUAAGUGUGAAAGAUGACUCAAAAUCUGUGGGGAUAAUGAUUUUUAACAUGUCAUGUGCGUUGGAAAUCCCUAAGGCAAACGUUGGAAGGUUUAGGUUGUGUUUUGUUUCUUUUUUUUGCUCGAGAACUAGCAAAAGCUAAGUGUGGGGUAUUUGAUAAGUCAUAUUAUAUAUAUUUUACAUAAAAUUCACUUGUCUUUCUUAGUUAGUUCCUUAUAUUUUUGAGCUAUUUACUAUGUUUUGUGUUUUGUUGUGAUUUAUCAAUCAAAGAAAAGAAAGUACACAAGUGAAUUAUUAAGUACAAAUUCGUCAAAACUGCCUGUGCAGAUUAUCUGACUUUGGAAGCCAUGUUACAAACAGCUCAGAAUGAAAUGGGUGAUGAUCCUUAUUUGCGUGGAAAGCUACGGAUGUCUAUUUUCUGGAGCAAUUUAGGAUUGUUAAUCUCAUUUUUUCUAGAAGAAGUUAUGGGUAUUGUAACACUGAAAGGUCAGAAAAGGGCUAAGCAGAUUUGGCUAAUAAAAAGAGAAAGGCAACACAUGGGCAAAGGAAACACACACACAUGGGCAGAAAAUGGGUGGAUUGUUGGCUGAAAUAAUGAAGAACAUGUGUCUGCAAAUGCAAAGGAAAAACACACACACACAUGGGCAAAGGAAACACACACACAUGGGCAAAGGAAGGGUAGGAAUGUGGGUGUUUGGUGGUUGAAAUGAUGAAGCAUGUGUGUGUAAAUGUAAAGGAAAACAUGGCAGAAAAUGUGUGUGUUUGGUGGUUGAAAUGAUGAAGCAUGUGUGUGUAAAUGUAAAUGCAAGUGUGACAUGUGUGGAGAAGAACCUCCUAGCUAGCCUUCCAUCCAUAAGUUUCAUUCAAAUUCAUUUACAAUUUGUUUUGAUUCACCCAAAUUUGUCUAAGAAUCUGUUUACUUUGUUCUUGUCUUAAUUUAAUUAUUUUCGUCCAAAUCAACCCCAUUUUUUCUUUGAGUCAUAUUAAUUAGAAUUGUCUUAGAUUAUGUUUUUAAGUGUUUUAGUCCAUUAGAAACCAAAAUUCGUCCAAGUUUUGUGUAGGUGUUCAAAACUGCCCAGAAGUGUUUUUAAGGCAGUUUUGAGUGUUAUUGCUGUUUUGAAUCUUUUGUUUUCUUAGUAUUUUAAAGUAUAGUUUUGCAUUCUUUGAGUCUAGUUUAGUGUUUAAACUUUGUUUUUACGUUUUCAAGUCAGUUUCCAAGUGAUUUAGCAAUCCCUCCUAAUCCCCGGCCUAGAACGAUCCCUACUUACAUACUUCACUACAUUUGAUAAAAAGAGGGUUUAAUUUGUGUGCUUAUAUAUUUCUCUAGGUAUCCGUUCAGAAAGGCUGUCUUCACGUCCAUUUGCCAUAUCUCAUAAUCAUGGUACGCAACUAUAGCAAGCAAAAUCCGAAUGGACUUAAUCAUGGCUACAGGAGAGGAAGGUUUCUUCAUAGUCAAUCCCUUCUCGUUGCCUAUAACCCUUGGCUACUAGUCUAGCCUUAUAAGUCUCCACAUUCCCAUCAGCGCCUAGCUUCCUCUUGAAGACCCAUUUGUUUCCAACAGGUACUGUACCUUCUGGAGGGUCUACAAGAGUCCAGACCUGAUUUUGAUACAUGGAAUCCAUCUCAGAUUUCAUGGCCUCUUGCCAUCUCUUUGAGUCAAUGUCGGACAUUGCUUCAGUGUAGUCCCUAGGGUCUUCCUUUGUGUCAUUGUCACCUAGAAGGUGCAAUUCCCCAAAGUCAUUAUCUAAGCCAUACCUCUUAGGUGGCUUGCUAACCCUUUCAGAUCUACGUGGACCUAGGGGUUCAGGAACAGGGUUGUCAACUUGUCGAGUGCUUGUUUGUGGUUCAUCAUUAAUCUCAUUAAUUUCCAUCGUUUUACUUAUAGUUCCUUUGAGAACAAAUUCGUCCUCUAAAAACUUAGCAGUUUUGGCGACAAAGACUUUUUGGUCGUCAGGAUGGUAGAACUCAUAUCCCAUAGUUUCUAUAGGAUAUCCCACAAAAUAGCACCUAACUGAUCUCGCUUCAAGCUUAGUAGCUUCAAGCUUCUUGACAUAUGCUUCACAACCUCAAAUCUUAAUGUGAUUAAGACUUGGCUUUCUUCCAUGCCAUAUCUCAUAGGGCGUCUGCGAAACUGACUUGGAAGGUACUCUAUUAAGCAAGUAAGCUACUAUAUAUAGAGCGUAUCCCCAGAAUGUUACUAGUAGAUCGGCGGAACUCAUCAUAGAACGAACCAUGUUCAUCAAGGUUCGAUUUCUCCUUUUAGAAACUCCAUUAAGUUGUGGAGUUCCCGGUGGAGUCCAUUGUGAUAUUAUUCCACACUCUUUGAGAUAAUCUAGGAACUCGCUACUUAGAUACUCUCCCCCUCGAUCUGAUCUUAGGAUCUUUAUCUGUUUCCCAGUUUGAUUCUCAACUUCAUUCUUGAAUUCUUUGAACCUUUCAAAGGAUUCUGACUUGUACUUCAUAAGAUACACAUAGCCAAACUGAGAGUGAUCGUCGGUGAAUGUGAUAUAGUAGGAGAAGCCUCAUCUCGACAUAGUAGACAUAGGUCCACAUACGUCAGUGUGGAUUAACCCUAGAAUUUCAGUGGCAUGCUCUCCUUUCCCAGUGAAUGGAGAUUUGGUCAUCUUCCCUUUUAAGCAACAUUCACAAGAACCCAUUUGGUUAUUACCUAAUGGGUGGAAAUAUCUGUUUUUCGACAUCUUGCGAAUCUUAUCAAGGUUCACAUGUCCAAGUUUAAGAUGCCACAUCUUUUCUUGGUUAACUUCUUCUCUAGCCCUUUUGGGUUUUGAGGUAUUCCCGCUUUUAAUACAGUGCAUCCCACUAAUUGUCUCUAGGUGAAAAAGUCCCUCUAUCAUAUUACCAUGAGAGAUAAUACGACCGUUCAAGUAUAAAGUGCAACUCAUUUUGUCAAACAAUAUUGAGUGCCCAUCUCAUAAAAGCUUAGAGAUAGAAAUCAAAUUCUUUAUACAUGAAGGAAAAUAUAAACAAUUUUUAAGUUCCAAGACUUCCCCAGAGGGUAGUUUAAGCAUGUAGGUGCCUAUUGCUUUUGCAGAUAUCUUAGUGCCGUUCCCAACUCGCACAAUCAUUUCCCUAUUGCGCAGUGUCCUGCUCCCUAUUAGUCCUUGCAACGAAUUGCAGAUAUGUUGACUAGCAUCUGAAUCAAAUAUCCAGGAAUUGGAGCUCACUGUAAAAGCACUCUCUAUGACAGAAAUAGUCCCUUCUAAAGUUCGUGUCAUAAGGCUCGCAAUGCGCACCCUGUAUUCUUCUUCCAACGUUCAUCUUUUCCACAAUGAAAGCAUGUUCCUUUGGAUUUUAUUGCCUUCUUCUUAUGUAACCUUUUCCUUGUGAUUGCAUUCUCACUCCCACUAUCCCUUUUGAAACCUUGUUCAAACUUACAGCACAUGUCAAUCAUCUCGGUAAAAGUAUGAUCGAAUCUAUUCACUUUAUAGUUUACAAUAAACUUAGUGAAAUCAUCCGAGAGAGAUCCAAGGAAAAAGUCUUGGGCCAUUUUCCCAUCGAUGGAAGUUCCUAAACUCUCAAGAUCUUGAAAGAUCCUUUUCAUCUUUUGUCCAUAUUUAUGAACCGAUGUCCCCUUUGCCAUUUUGGCAUUCAAUAGACUACAAACAUUUGAGAAUCGUACAUUACUAGUCUCAAUGUCAUGCAUCUUAUGCAAACUUUCAACCAUGGCACAAGAAGUGUCCAUGUGCUUAUGUAGCUUCAUAAGCUCCUCACUAAGUGAAGUGAGGAUUAAGCAUUUGGCUUGUAAGUCAUCCUCAUAGUGUCUAUCAUAAUUUUGACACUCCUCAUUUGAAGCUAGUUUCGUAGGUGGUACAUGAGGAGGGGAUUGCUUAAGCACAUACAAUAUGUCUUUCACCUUUGAGACAUUCUCAAUGUGGCGAUACCAAGCAAGGAAACGUUGGCCCCUAAGGGCCCUUUUGUCAAGUAUAAUGGUGGGUGUAAUUUUAGGCAUGUCGUUAACUACAUAACAUAACAGAAAUCGUAUUAGAUUGUUGAUUUUAAAACUACUUGAUUGGGUCUUAAAUCAAAUAGUACCACCCACUAUUUUUGGCAAAUUCCACAUCCCUCAAUGGAAUUCGAGAGUUAUGUUGAACUCUUAGCGGGUAUGGGAGGCUCACCAUUACCAAGCCCACCUCACGAUGAUACGAUGUUGGUUAGCAAAAAUAAUGAUGAGAGAAUAACGCUUUAAUCAUUUACAACUCUUGUAAUUACCCAUCUAAUUUUGGCCUCUAGAAAAUGAUGCCUCACAAUGAUAUGAUGUUGGCACCAUUGCACUUAGUUAAGUUAUUCCCACCAUGCUAGUUCGUGUAGGGGUUCAAGAAUAGCCUCACAAUGAUAUGAUGUCGGCCAUCCUCGUUGCCUACCUCACCACAUCAUGUAUGUACAUAAGGACUCCUCCUGAAUGUAAGCACAUACUUUGAACUUCCCCAUGAUAGGGUGAAGCCGGUGUAGGAGUCACAAACGAUUGGAGCCCACCAUGGUGGAAGGCCUACGAAGAGAUGUUCAAAGCAUCUCUCGCUUAUCAACUUAAUAUUCGUUUUGUUGAGGGAGUAGUGUUGGGCUACAUCAAUUUUAUUUUAAUCUUAUUAAAAGAAGUUGGGCCUAUCACAACCAUUGGUCCAAGUUAAUAUGAAUUAGUAGUAUAUAAUACUCCCACUAUUUCGAUGAAACAAGCGAGACUAUAUGGAACUACUAACGAAUGCAUUGCAUCCUCAUAUGGACUAUAUAGUCAUAUUAGGUCUUAGGAUGAUUAUGAACCGUUUGAUUUGAUCCAACACGAGCCUUGUGUUGGACCUUGGGUCUAAGGUAGGUAGUUGUUGAUUUUAGUUACGUGUUUAAUCUAAUUAAACCGUUAUUUCCUAUUGGGCAUUGGACCCAACUAUUCCAAUUUGCAUACAAUGAACAAAUAGGAAUACUUGAAAUAAAGAGAAGGGCUUAUGCCCUUUUACAACACAUUAGAUGGACUUAUGUCCAUAUACAACAAAUUUGAACUAAUCAAAUUACAUUCAAAUCUAAACUACUUAACCCAAGCAUUCAUAAUGUAAAGCGGCCAAUCACAUAGCUCAAUUAUCGAGGUCUUUGGUUCAUAAUCACCCUUUUCUUAAUCAAUCAAUUUAACUAAGAAAGCAACUUAAACAAUUGGUUUUAGGAUUCAUAGAAUUGAUUUAAAUGGAACUAAAUGAAAUGAAAAUCCAAUUCUCAUUCAAGAGACAAAACCAUUUUGUUCUCAUCAUCUUUUGGGCCGAAAAGCAAUGACCACAACUAUUGGCCAUAAAUUUAAAACAUAAACUUUUGGGGUCACUUUGUAAAAACACAAGAGUCUACAACUUCAUGUAAUUACAACUAGAACCCAAAAAUUUCAACAAUAAUAAAAACUUCAUUAAAGGAGCAAAACAAUUUGUCCUUUAGCGUUUUUGGGCCUUAACGUAAAAACGCAAACUUUUGGGUCAAAGUGCAAAUACACAAAAGUAUCAAAACUUUAUGUAAUUGCAUGAAAGCCCCAAAAGUACCCCCACUAAGGGGUGGCCAGUUUUGGUGGUGAAAAAGGAGGGGGGAAAAGGUUUUUGGUGAAAAAUUCAAAAUUUGAAAGUGCUUGGUGCAAGUGGAUAGGUAGGUGAGGAAAAGUUGAUUGGGAUGGGUUGUAAGAAAAAUGUUUUGUUAAAUAAUAAAGGCAUAAAUCAUCCAUCCAUCACCAAUCAAUAAUAAACCAAAACUUUAUUCAAAGCAACAAACAUAUUGAAUCAAAACACCAAAACUUUUUGUUCUUGGUAAGAACAUCAAGAACAUUGAAGAACACACAUGAAAACUCAUAAGAGCUCCAUGAGUGUUUUCACUCAAUAAAACUCAAAUUUUCACUACACAAAAGAGGGUUAACAUCCUAGGGUACUUAGGGGUUCCAAAAGUCACUUUAAAACUCUUUUAACAAGACAAACAUGAACCAAAAUUCCACCCUUUGGAUUUGGCCGAAUCUCCCCACAUACAUGGCACCAAAUUUUAGUUCCAAUAUUCAUGCUUAAAUGAACUACAUCUACAACAUUUGAGAUGCUAAAUUUUCAAGCAAAAUUUAUAUUCAAAAGCAAGAACAAAGCUUGUAACAUUUACAACAUUUAAAUCACAAACCAUGUAAAACACAAAACCCAAAGGGAUUCACCAUAAACUAGACCUAGGCUCUUGAUACCACUUGAAGGAAAAAUUUUGUCCUAGCAAAGAACAUGUGAGAAUAUUUGAACACAUAUGCAAACUAUUAACAUAUUAAAGUAGGCAUGCAUUAAAAAACAAUUCUAAAACCCAUGACUUUCAAAGCCUAGUGAAUGGUGAACCAUGAGACUCUUCAACAACAUUAAAGAGAAGGAAGGAUUUAGAGAUUCAUUACCCUUGAAGCUCAUCCUUGUUUACACAAGGGAUUCACCCAAGUGGAGGGCCUUCAAGUCACCUCCUAGCUCCUUGGAUCUUCCUUGUGAUUUUCUACCUUUUGAUGCUCCUUUGCUCCUUGAGGAUGUGAGGAAGGGAUCUCCAAAAACACCAAAGAUUUGGUGUCUCUAAGUCUCCACACCAAGGAUGAGGUGUGAAGAUGAAUUGGAUGACUUAGAGAAGAAAAGAUUGCUAGCUAUAUCUUCUCUAAGUGGCCGGCCUCCUUUAGAGAAAAAGAGAGAAAGUGUUUCUCAUCUUUGUCUCAAGAAAACCCUAAUGAUGUAAAAGCUAUAAAGAUGCUUUUAUAUCUCUUUUCUUAGGUGAGAGGCAAACUUGCAAUUAAGCAAAACUUCCCACUACCCUUGCUAUGGCCGGCCAUCUUAAGUGAUUGGGCUAUUUGCCCAUAUUUGUUUUAGUUGUCAUACAACUUAAACAUAAUGGGCCUAGUGGACCAAACCUUUUUGGACCCCGAAGCCCAAAACUAACUUAAAAGCCCAAUACGAACCUUUCGUAAAAUUAAUUAACUAAUUAAUUAAUCUUGACCAUUCUCAAUUAAACCAUUUAAUUGCUUAUCCAUCUCAUUUAUAUUUCUUCACUUUCAUCCUUACUCGGUGUACGAUCUAUUAGGUUCCAAUUAGCGAGGCAGUGGGCGAUUGUUACUCUUAACGAUCGAUUGUGAAUUGAAACAACAUUUCAAUUCUCCCUUUGUUGAAGAUUAAUGUUUGCUAAUCUUCAGGGCUUCCACAAACCAUGAGUGACACCUAGCAGUAUGUCAUGGCUACCCAAGCUAAGUAGAAGUGGUUGGAGAACCUAUCCAGUUACAAUUACAAUGCAAUACGGUCAUUCUUUAAUACAAUACUCUUAAUCACAUUGUUUGAGUGAUAGUUUGUUUCAUGUCUACUGUCUAAUGUGAUACUUCUUUAUAUUAUUCAAUUGAAUAUGAUUUGGAACAUACUUCCUAAGUCAUAUUCGUAUGCUUUGGCCAAAGACUCCCGAAUCAUAUCUUAGAGUAUUCUCCUUCCACCAUGGAAGGUUAGAGAUCCCUUGUUGUAUAUUCAUAUGCCUACAUGACUAGAUAGCUUGACCCCAACAAUGUCGUGGACACUCUUGAUGGAAUGCCUUUGACAUGAUCAAAGAUCAAGGACCUAACCAUUAGACAACUAUGAUGUCUCAGGUCAAAGGACUACUUUGCAUAUUGCAACUAACGAGUUCUUAGAUGACAUGUAUGUUCAAACUCUCUUUUGAUCGUUGUUCAGUGUACUCGAUUACUCUUUCAAGCACCUAUGUGUUUGUCUUAGUGUCCAACACUAAAUGACUUGAGACUAGUCAUACUCACGCUUGAGUUGACAUAACACAUACUAACCUUAGCGGAUUGUCAAUGCCCAAUUGGCAAUCCUAUGGCUAGGAACGUUUUAGGAAUGAACAUAAGAGAAAGGUCUCGUUAAUCUAACUCACUUAAAUCACUUAUCUCUUAGAUCAAAUACAUUCCUUGGAUUCCCUUAUUGCUUAAACACAUGACAAUAAAUAGUGAUUAACAAUAAGCUUUGCCCUUUAUUAAACAUAUAAUAGUUUAAUACAAUAAGUAUUCCAAAAGCUAUUACAUCAAAUGAGUGGCUUUGUGGGCAUACUUCCAACAGUUUCGACUCGUAGGUGACUAGCGAUUUAUCGCAUAGAUAUCAUGAGUGUGUAGCAUUGAGCAUAACUAUAGUACACCCAGUUUUGUCGUACAAACCCUUAUAGUGGUUCCGACUCGUGUGCAGUGUAGUGCUGUAUAGGUCACUUGUAGUGACUCCGACUAGAUUAAUUAAUGAUCUAUGAAUGAAUUCGACCGUACAGACUUCUGCAGGGGUUCCGGCUAAUAUGUUAUUUUCACCUAAGUUACUUAUUCUGUUUUAUAUUUUUGGCAUGGCAUACUUAUGAUUAUGGAUAUGUGAAGCAUGAUUUGAUAUAUAUUCCAUUUCUGUGAAAAAUUAUACAUGUUUUAUUGGGAGGGGUUAAAGCAUUUGGUAAAUGAAAUGAUUUUGAAAAGCUUUGUUUUUGCCCACUCACACUUUCUGUUUUGCGCCCUUCUAGGUUUUAGGUAGGCUUGCUGUUGGUGGCAUUUGAGGAUCUCCGUAGGACCUCUUUUGGCACUGUAUAACUAGUACUUGUCCUACUGGACUGCACCCAGACUUAUAUGCUCUGAUUAGGUGUAUUUACACUUGUAUCUCAUUCCUAGCACUUUCUGCUUAGUAGUGCACAUUAAUUAGCUUUUGAUUUUUAUUUAUUCAUAUCUCUUAUCCUUAUCGCUUCUACACUGUGCAAAUGGUUACGUCACUCUCACGUGACGGCCAUCAUGCCCUGAUUGGGGUCGAGGUGUGUCAGUUUGGUAUCAGAGCCUAUGUUUAGCAGUCAUGUAUAUCUUGUGAAUAAUCGAAUCAUUAUGAUGUCUUCUGUUUGAAUUAUGCCGCCUCGUAGAGAGCCACAUCACUCAGCUGAGCCUAGUUUCCUUGAUAUUGCACAGUUAGGGAAAGUUAUAGCUAAUGCCAUUCAAUCUUCGUUCCAUCCUCCUCAGAGGACACCUCUUGAGACUGUGUAUAAUCUGAAGCUGAAUCAUUUCAUGGGUAAUGAAAGACAUGAGGGAGCGGAAAAGUGGCUUAAUUAUGUCGAAAAGACUUUCUUUGUGAUGCAGAGUCAGGGGAAUCUUCCUCCUGAUAGGUGGGUCGAGAUGACUACUUGGUUUCUAGGUCCAGAGCUUGCAUCGUGGUGGAGACAGGAGUCCUAUCAGAUGCCAUCAGAGGUAACAACCGAUUGUGAGGUGUUUAAACAGUUGUUUAAGAAAAUGUUCAUUCCCCUUGAGUAUAUUGAUCGUACGAAACAAGAAUGUACGCAUAUGAAACAAGGAAAGAUGAUGGCGAAUGAAUAUUACAGGAGAUUCACUAAUUUGUCUCGAUAUGAUCCGGAGGUUGCUGCUAAUCCGGUUGAGAUGCUUCGUCGUUUCAGGUUGGGUACUAAGAAGAAAUGGCAUUCUAUAGCUACAUCGACUCCCUGUGCUACUUACCAGGAGGUUUAUAAGGUUUUAUUGUGGAUUGAGGACUCAGAGAACAUGCCUAGUAAAAGUGAAGAUGAAGAAGAAAAGAACGGGAACCAAAGGCAAGAUGAUAAAGGUAAAGGUCAAUCAUCUCAAGGACCUCGUAAGACUCGGAGUUUUAAGAGAAGUGGUGUCAGUUCUAGCUCUUCUAGUGGAGGUUUGAGCUCUAAUGUGCAGAUGAGAGGAGAGGCAGAGGGACUUUGGUGGUUAGGUGCUCCUUUAUGCUGCAAGUGUAAUAAUAGGCAUUUUGGAGAGUGUAAGAGAGGCAUCAGUACAUGCUAUACUUGUGGACAGUUGGGGCAUAGGGCUGCACAUUGCCCUCAGAAUUAGCAGAGGCCCCAACAGCCUUCCUUACCACCACCUGCAAUGAUCCAACAAGUUUCAGGACCUAGUGGUUAUGCCCAGACUGGUCGUCAUGGUGUUUAUCAUUAUUAGGGCGAUGCCGCUCCUUAUACUUCAAGGCAGUAUCAGUACUCGCAUGACCCUCAUUAUUAGAGUGGUUACCCUCAGUAUCAACAGGUUCUAUACGAUAUCAGCCACAUUCAGCUGGUGGAUCCCAGUGGUACUAGGGGCGACAGCCUCAGUAGGUAGAGAUUGCUGUUAGCAGUGCAGGAUCUUCGAGGCAGUCUGGUCGGCUAAGACAUGGAUGGGGUAUUCAUGCUAACAGAGGUUGUGGUAGACGACAGCAGAGUCAGGGACGUAUCCAUAACAUGACACUGCAAGAUGCUCAGAACAAUCUUGAUUUAAUUAUGGGUACGUUAAAUAUUCUUCGUCAUUGUGCUAGAGUAUUGAUUGAUUGUGGUGCUAUGUAUUAUGUUCUUUCUCAUACAUUUUCUCUAGUGACGCAACCUCAUCCUACACCUUUAGGAUACAAUUUAGAGUUUUCUAUGCUUAGAAGAGAGAGAUGUUAUGUUGAUCGGGUAUAUCCAAGAUGUCCGGUGAUAAUGGAGGAUAUCGUCCUGCCGGCUAACCUUAUUCCGUUAGAUAUUGUUGAUUUUGAUGUGAUUUUGGGCACUGAUUGGUUACACUACAAUCGUGCCAAGAUAGAUUGCUAUGGAAAGACAGUUACUUUUCAUCGUCCUGGAUUACCUGAAGUUACAUUUGUAGAAGAGCCUAGCGGGGUGAGGCAUGGUGUUAUUUCUACCAUGAAAGCCAAAAGAUUGUUGUCGAAGGGUUGUCAGGGAUAUUUGGCUCAUGUGAUGUUGAAUGAUAAUGCUCCUAAUAGUGUGGAGGAUGUACGUGUGGUCUGGCAUUUUCCAGAUGCGUUCCCUGAUGAUUUGCCUGGAUUGUCGCCAGACAGAGAUGUGGAGUUCGGUAUUGAUUUGCUUCCAGGUAUGAAUCCUAUAUCUUUGACUCCGUAUAGAAUGGCUCCUGCUGAGUUAAGGGAAUUGAAAGUUCAGUUGCAGAAACUGGUUGAUAAGGGAUUUAUUCAGCCUAGUACUUCACCCUGGGGAGCUCCAGUUUUAUUUGUGAAGAAGAAGGACGGAACUUUGAGGCUAUGCAUUGAUUAUAGGCAAUUGAAUCGGGUAACAAUUAAGAACCGUUAUCCAUUGCCGCAUAUAGAUGAUUUGUUUGAUCAACUCCGAGGUGCCUGUGUGUUCUCUAAGAUUGACUUAAGGUCUGGUUACUACCAGUUGAAGAUUAAAAGUGAAAAUGUCCCGAAAACAGCAUUCAAGACUCGAUAUGGUCAUUAUGAGUUUCUUGUGAUGCUAUUCAGAUUAAUGAAUGCACCAGCAGCUUUCAUGGAUUUAAUGAAUUGAGUAUUCCAGCCAUAUUUGGACAGGUUUGUUAUUGCCUUCAUUGAUGACAUUCUGGUAUACUCUAAGUCUAGAGCAGAGCAUGCUAGACAUCUUAAAUUGGUGUUGAAAAGUUUAAGGGAACACCAGCUAUAUGCUAAGUUUAGCAAAUGCCAAUUCUAGUUAGAUCAAGUGGCAUUUUUAGGACAUGUUAUAUCAGCUUAAGGCAUUGGAGUGGAUUCUUAAAAAGUGACAGCUAUGGAGAAUUAGGAGCAACCUUGAACCGUCACUGAGAUACGAAGUUUUCUUGGCCUAGCAGGCUAUUAUAGACGGUUUGUUAAGGAUUUUUCAGUUAUUGCUUUACCAUUAACGAGGUUGACUAGAAAAGAAGUUUGAGUGGGAUGAAAAUUGUGAGCAAAGUUUCUAGCAGUUGAAGUAUUAUCUCACUCAUGCACCUGUUUUAGCACUCCCAGAUGAUAGUGGUAAUUUUGAGGUCUACAGUGAUUCUUCUUUGAAUGGUAUGGGUUAUGUAUUGAUGCAACAUGGUAGGGUGAUUGCUUAUGCUUCAAGACAGUUGAAACCUCAUAACAAGAAUUACCCUACUCAUGAUCUGGAGUUAGCGGCUAUCAUCUUUGCUCUGAAGAUUUGGAAACAUUAUCUUGAUGGUAAGAAAUGUAAGAUCUUCAUAGAUCAUAAGAGUCUUUAAUAUCUUUUUACUCAGAGGGAUCUAAAUCUUCGACAGUGGAGGUGGAUCGAGUUACUUAGUGAUUAUGAUUGCACGAUUGAGUAUCACCUUGGUCAUGCAAAUGCAGUGACAAAUGCACUUAGCAGAAAGACUCCAGCUAGACUUAAUGCCAUCUAUGAUUGUUAUGUUCCUCUUCUUGAGGAUUUGAGGUACACUGGAGUGGAGUUAGGAGUGGAAGAUCGAGAGGAAUCCUUACUUGCUAAUUUUCAAGUUAGGCCAAUUUUAAUUGAUCGUGUGCUCGAAGCCCAGAUGAAUGAUGAAGAGACACAAGAAAUAAUUCAAGCAAGGAAUUGGAGAAAGAGGAAAGAUUUUAGAAUUAGAGAAACUGAUGGCAUGCUUAUGCAAGAGAACAUAAUGUAUGUGCCGAAUAAUGCAGAGUUAAAGAAAGAAAUCCUUGAUGAAGCGCAUAUUUCGGCAUAUGCAAUGCAUCCAGGAGGUACCAAGAUGUAUCAUACCAUUCGACAAUUUUAUUAUUGGCUGGGUAUGAAAAGAGAGAUCGCUGAGUAUGUGAGUAGGUGUGCCAUUUGUCAACAAGUUAAAGCAGAAAAAAAACCUUUUGGAUUGAUGCAGCCAUUUCCCGUUCCACAGUGGAAAUGGGAAAAUAUUACUAUGGAUUUCGUGUACAAGCUUCCUCGUACACAUAAUGGUUAUGACGGCAUUUGGGUGAUAGUUGAUCGGCUCACUAAGUCAGCACACUUUAUUCCAAUGAGGGAAAAAUACUCAUUAAGCCGAUUAGCUAAGUUAUUCAUAUCGAAGAUCGUGAAGUACAAUGGUGUUCCAGUUGAUAUUAUCUCGGAUCGGGACCCUAGAUUCACUUCUAAGUUCUGGAUAGCGUUCCAAGAAGCUCUUGGUAUGGCAUAUCAUCCUCAGACAGACGGACAAUCUGAGAGAACUAUUCAGACAUUAGAGGAUAUGCUGAGAUCUUCAAUGCUGCAGUUUGGCGAUGGUUGGCAUGAUUGUUUGGAUUUGAUGGAGUUCGCCUACAACAACAGUUACCAUUCGAGUAUUGGUAUGGCACCAUUUGAAGCACUCUAUGGCAAGUCUUGUCGAACGCCAUUAUGCUGGUCAGAAGUUAGCGAAAGAGUUUUGGUGGGCCCGGAGAUUGUGGAUGAAACUACCCAGAAUAUUCAGGUAAUUAAGUCUAACUUGAAAGCGGCCCAGGAUCGACAAAAGAGCUUAGCAGACAAGCAUGCCACUGACCAGAUGUAUAAUGUAGGUGAUUGCGUAUUUCUAAAGCUAUCACCAUGGAAAGGUGUUGUGCGGUAUGGAAAGAAAGGCAAGCUGAGUCCUAGGUAUGUUAGACCGUAUAUGAUCACCGAGCGAGUCGGUGAGGUUGCUUACAGGCUUGAGUUGCCUCCAGAGUUGUCCAAAGUGCAUGACGUGUUUCAUGUUUCGAUGCUUCGACAUUAUGUCUCGGAUCCUUCUCAUGUUAUACCUCCUCAACCUUUGGAAAUUAAUCCGGACUUGUCUUACGAUGAGGAGCCAGUGACUAUUUUGGAUUGGAAGGAUAAUGAGCUGAGGAAUAAGACAGUGCAUCUGGUGAAAGUUCUAUGGAGAAAUCACUCAGUGGAAGAGGCUACUUGGGAAACAGAGGAUCGGAUGAGAGAGAUGUAUCCACGCUUAUUUUAUAACUAUUAGUGGAUGUAUUUGUUGUGUAUAAUUUUGAGGAUGAAAUUUUAUAAGGUGGGUAGAUUGUCACAGCCCGUCCCGAAAUAUUUAUUUUUGACAAUGUGAAAUUACUUAUUUACCCUUGGACAUUUUGUGGUUAUGUGGGUUAAGUUUUAUUUGGACCAAUUCAAAGAUUUUCCUAAGUUUUGGAACACUUAGGACCAACACUUAGGACUUAAAGUGUUUGUUUUGUGUAUUGGAAGACCAAGUAGGACCACCACGUAGGACCACCACACACCCAACUUUUUCCCUGGGCACUCUCUCUCCCCUCCCUUUCGAUUUUUCUGCAACGUCCGUACAAGUGUACGGACAAAUCUUCAACCCUCUUAUUCAGAUGCAGAUCGAUGUCAAAAAGGUAAAAUUCGAACUCCUUACAAGCUUUUGAGUUCGUAUAUACUAUUUUUAGAACUUGAAAACUUCAAAAACCCCGAGAACUCUAACCCCAGAUUUCAUGCACUAAUUAAUGUGAGGUUUUUAGGAUUUUUUAAGGACAUAGGGAGCUUUGAAUCAUCCUCAUGAAGCUCGGAGAAGAAAAACCAAGCAAUUUGGACGUCGGGAAAUUGAGUUCGACGAGUUUUAAGUUUUCACUUGAUUAUCGAGCUUUCUUCAACGAGUUUUCGUGGAUUUCAAGCCUUGAAAUUGGUAAGGGUGUGUUCUUCUAGUUAUAAGCUUUAAAUUGAGACCAAUUUCAUGAGUUUUGGGCAAGAAAUGACUAAGAUACAAGGAUUUUAAGAUUUUCUAGUUUCCGGCGACGGCGACGGUUGCCGGAGUUCGAAGGUAGAAGACAGAGAAUAUUCCAUCAAAGUUUGACGGAAUAUUCUGACGCCGUCAGGUAGAAUUAACGGUUUCUAUUACUUUUUAACGGAAUAUUCCAAACAGGGUUAGGGGAUUCUGUUAAGGUUCCUUGCGCGUGGCCGCGGGUAGGGCCGUGCCUUUGUCAGCGCGUGACGAUGCGUAAGGGCUCCAAAAAUUAUUUUAAAAAUUUGGGCAUGUUCAUGGAGUUGUGUAGGUCACGAUGGUAUAUUUAUAUACCUCAGUUGAGCAAUGUAUGAGAAGUUAUUAGCUAGUAUUGGUUAUGUGCUUUAAAUUAACAUUUUUAUAGUUGUUUCGCAUAUAGGGAGACUUAUCCCGAGGACGAGCGCAGUCAAGGGCGACUCGGGGGCUACGACCCUUCGACAUACUAGCGAGUGGGCUUUUGGUUUUGAGUAUAUACUUAUAUACUUGAUAUUUUCCCAGAAAAUGCGUUUAAAUGAAAGUAUGCUUUGAAAUGCCAUGCAUAUAAAUUUAUAUUCAGUAUAUGAAUUAGUAUAUGAUGCAUAAUAUAUUAUUGUGGUGUUGUGGAUGCUCAAGUAAGCUCAUGUGAGUUUAUGAAUUUUGAAUGUGAAUAACGGUUGUGAUUAAUUAAGAAACAUUGAACUCAUAAACCUGCACCCCGAAGUUAGUGAUUUAGCUAGAGAUAUGGCACAUGCCUGUUUAUAAUGUCACCUCACGCACCCUAUGCUCACAUUGGAUCCAAUUUAGGUGCACAGUCUUGUCGUACAGACCAUCAUAGGUGGUUCCGACUCGUAGGUGACUAGCGAUUUAUUGCAUAGCUAUCAUGAGUGCGUAGCAUUGAGCAUAACUAUAGUACACCCAGUCUUGUUGUACAAACCCUUACAGUAGUUCCGAUUCAUGUGCAGUGUAGUGUCGAAUAAGUCACUUGUAGUGACUCCGGCUAGAUUGAUUAAUGAGUUAUGAAUUCAACCGUACAGACUUCUGUAGGGGUUCUGGCUAAUAUGUUAUUUUCCAUGAAUUUAUUUUCACCUGAGUUACUUAUUCUGUUUUAUAUUUUUGGCAUGACAUACUUAUGAUUAUGGAUGUGUGAAGCAUGAUUUGAUAUAUAUAUUCCAUUUCUGGGAAAAAUUAUACAUGUUUUACGGCGAGGGGUUAGAGCAUUUGGUAAAUGAAAUGAUUUUGAAAAGCUUUGGUUUUGCCCACUAACACUUUUUGUUUUGCGCCCCUCCAGGUUUUAGGUAAGUUUGCUGUUGGUGGCAUUUGAGGAUCUCGGCGGUUCUGACAAAAUAUAAUAUCCGUAGGACCUCUUCUGACACUGUAUAACUAGUACUUGUCCUACUGGACUGCACAUAGACUUCUAUGCUCUGAUUAGGUGUAUUUACACUUGUAUCUCAUUCCUAACACUUUUUGCUUAUUAGUGCACAUUAAUUAGCUUUCGGUUUUUAUUUAUUUGUAUAUCUCUUAUCCUUAUCGCUUCCGCAUUGUGCACAUGGUUACGUCACUCUCACAUAACGGCUAACAUGCACUGAUUCGAAUCGGGGUGUGUCAUCAACCCCAAUAGUUAGAGUUGAUCUAAGGAGUUGCAUGCAUUAUUCAAUUUAGAUAAAUAAAAGAUGUUAAACAAGUUUAGAACUCCAUUACGCACCGACAGAUCAUAGGCGUCACGCACUGCGUCAGGGAUUGAAUGGAAUCUAUGCAAAUAGAAUGUGCCACGUUUUAAUUAAUCUGGAUGACAACGCAUGUAUGCAAAUGAAAUAGACAGAAUACUGUUGCUGGAGUAGUGUUCCAGAAAACCCUUCCAAAAGGUGGCAUUAAUGUAAUUUUGCCAAACUGAGAUGGAGUCGAAACGAUUCAACUGCUUUCUUUGACAAUGGAAACUUAAUCAAGAAAGCAUGUGAUACACAUUUCAAUCAAUAGGUGUAAAAAACUCAGUUUUUUCGAUUUGAUGCGAAAUUGCAAGGGUCCCAAUUCCCUCAGAACUUCAAAUGGUCCAUCCCUUCUUAUCUUAACAUUACUCAUGAAAUUUUUCCUUUUAAUAGUCAGUCAUAUGCAGUGUUGGCUUUGAGGGGAGCAACUUGUGCAAUUGCACAGGGCCUCCAACUUUUGGCUGAUAUAUCGUUAGAUAAUUAACUUUUCAAAUUGAUUACUUUGAUUCUUGUUUAGGAUGAGAAAAUGGAGUAAGAGAUAAAGAGAUUAAGAAAAGAAUGUGUGGAUUUUCAAUUUCAAAAUUUUAAUAUCACUUGUUGCUGAAGAUCUGUCUUUGGAUUUAGUGUUUUACUAUAUUAUCAUCAUUUGUUUUGUUUCAUGGCUUUUUUUAUCUGUUCACUAGUGAUUUUGUUGAUUUUAUCACAUAAUUUUAGUUAUAAAAUUUCUUUUAAUUUUGAUAUUAAUACAUGGUAAAUGUUUAUUGUUUCAGUACAUUUGUGAGAUUAUGUAAUAAGGUACUAGAGCAAAAUGGUCCAUUUAUAAUUUCCACACAGGACUCCUAACAUCUAGGAGACAACCCUGAUCAUAUGAGUUUUACUUUUUGUUUUCACAAUAUAUGAAUUUUAUUUUUAAGAAAUUUGGACGGUACGAAAAAAAUUUUAUUCAUAAAAAAGAAAAGAAAUUGCACCUAGUUAAGAUCCAGAAAAGAAAGGGAUAUGAAACCUAAUCUCUCCAACUCCAAAGCAAACCUAAGAAAGAAGUAAGAACUCCAAAACACUAUAAACAAGAGAUUUGGUAAAACUAAAAAUCACAUAUCAGGAGGGAGAGAAAUCUGUAAAUUGGGAUACUAUCAGCAAUAGUAUUCCCCUAAAACGCAUGCGCUUCAUUUGCACUCACCCAUUCCUCCAUCUGAAGCAAAGAGACCGUGGAAGGAAAGUAGAGGAGGAGCUCAGACAAGAAAUGACAUUUACAUGACUACUUACAAUCAGACUCACUACAAAGAAUAACUGCUUGGGCGACUAAGGGGCAAGUGUCGCACAAAGACCAAUACCUUCAUUGGAAACAUUGGGCGGCAAAGAGAGCAUUACGCAAAUUCUGUCGCGCAAAGCUUGUGAUGUCAGACAUUGAGCGACGGAGGAAAGCGCUUCAUCACGCGAAAUGAAGGUUGCGCAAUGGAAUUAGUGGCCGUUGUGCGUGAUCGAGCGUCGAAACUAGGGUUCGAUCCCCAAACUCUUGAGCGACGGACAUAGAGGGUCGACCCCUAAACUGUUGCUCGAUGGACAUAGGAGUUCAACCCCCCAAACUCUUGUGCGACGGAUAUAGAGGCCAUCGCAUUAAGAUUUUAAAAUUAGUUUUUUUUAAAUAAUAUUUAUUUAUUUAUUAUUAUUAUUAUUUUCCUAGGAAAAGGCUUUGUUGUUGUUGUAUUAUUUUUUUUGCUUUUAAAUGUUGCUAAUAUUGUUUUAUGUAAAAACUAAUUUAAUGAAAUUAAAAAUAGAUAAUGUAAAGAAGAAUAUUGAAUUAAAAAAUUAUUGAAAAUGUACAUACAAUGAAAAAAAGUAUUUUUAAAUUUGAAAACAAUUUAAAACAAAACUAAAAUAGGUAGUCGUCCACGUCAUAAUCGCCUGCUGGUGGUGUUGCUGCUGCGUUUGAGGGAGGGCUAGAAGGUCGUAGCUGUUGCGGCCGGGGGCUGGGAGGUCAAUUCUGGAAGCGGUUCAACAUUGGGGAACUGAAUGCCACAGAUUUGAAGUGCGCGACGAAUUUGGUUCAUCAAAUUGCUUUGGGCCACAAUAUGAGACUGUUGGGUGGCAAUUUGCUGGGCGGCAAUCCGCUCAUUCAGGUUCGCCACUUCAGAUGUCAGUGUUUCGACCUUUUCUGUUCUCUGCCUGGAGGAUGAGGCAGACGGGUCCCGAAGGCGGGCUUUCCCAAGCCCCCCAUGCAUACGACUAAGGUCUGAUCAUGUGUCUGUCAUGAUCUGAAAAUCGGCAUCCUCAAGGGGAAACACCUCAUCGAUUAGGGUCUCUAGGGGAAGCUGGGAAGCCACCUCCUCCAGAACGGUUUGGCCCUUCUCCAUCAUGGUAGACUAUAAAAAUGAAAUAAACAAAUUAAUAUUAAUACUAAUACUAAUUGAAUUGUAAAAAAUUGAAAUAACUUACAUGAAGCUGCUCCGUCAGCUUAUCCCUGGGCCGAUUGUACACCUCCUUGAACAUGUCAAUCACCGGAAACUUUGAGCCCCCCUGAAAGAAUUUAAAAAAUGUUAACAUAGAUUACCAAUUGUGUAAUAAUGAGUAAAAAGAUUGCAAACUUAAAAUAAAUAUAUGGUUACCUUACGUCGCUCCUCCAACCUAUAAGAGAAGCGUCGUGAGCCAGAUCGGUGAAGAAGUUUCUUCUUCGACCGAUUGAUCAAGUUUGCCUUCACCAUUUUUGUUGAAUAAAAAAACGUAUUAGUUUAGAUAUUUAUAACAAAUGAAUGAAAAUAUGAAUUUUUUAUUUAAAAUUGUAAAACUUUUGAUUAAUAUUUUAUUAAAAUAUAUAUUAUACUUACAAGGUAUUUCUCAUCUUGAAAAUGGCCGCAGAGCCACUCCCAUUCAUCUCGAUGGUCCACCAACUCUAUAGGGCAUCUAACUGCUAAAGCAACCUCCGGACCGUCAUAUAGCUCAUAAUGCUUGUGGAGGUCGCUCUUCCAUUGAGUGAACCUACCGGCGCAAAGGUCGUUGAUGUACUUGCUUUUGAUUGGCAUCGAGGUUGGAGAGCUCGUAGUGAUGCUGCAAAACUCAACAAAUAAAUAGUAGUUAAAAUUUAUAAUAUUCGUAUACUUUAAUAAAAAUUUAGUAUUAGAGGUUGAAAAUACUUACUGAUAAUUCAUGAAGAACAUCUUCCUUGACUUCAUGUGGGACAGCUUUCCAUGACUCCCACAUGAGGGGUCAAUAGUUCCUGAUAAUUGAGCCAAUGUUGGUGGCCAACGCAUUGUGUUGCUCCUUUGUUGCAGCCACACGAUGUCGAGGAUCCCACGUAAUGGUGAUCUUCUCAGUCAUGGUGCAAGUGGUUUGUGAUGUCCUCAGUAGUCGGCAAACGCCCCUGGUUUUUUUUUUUUUUUUUUUUUUUUUGAACUACCUAAUAAACAAAUUAAACAUUAGACGAAUUCUAUUUUCUACCGAAAAUUUGGCAGAACCUUUCGUAAAACUAUAACAUUUCUUUAAACCUGCAGAUAAUAUAACAACAAAAACAACACAUCCACCCAACAAUUCAAAUAGUUUAUACCAAUUGGGGACGUAAAUUUACAACUUGUUGAUAUGACUUCACACUACGAGUCUGCAACAAGUUUUGGCUUCCAAGGCCGGGUGUGCCAACUUAAAUCGUUUACAAUAAUGAUUCUACUAAUAUAGAAAGCAUCUGUUUGUGGGAUUACACGAACUCACAAGAAUAGAGGCAAAGCACUCAAAGUGAAGUUCUUAGUAAGUUCGUUCCAAUUAACGAGAAAGUGACAAUUUUGAAGGUUCAAGCAUGUCUAAAGACUAAUGUCAAUGUUGCUUUGACCAUCAUGAAACCAUAAGUAAUCUUAUCAAUGGACAAAUUAAGCUUACCUGUUUGGGACCCCUCUCCAUGGACAGAUGAAGCCUCACCAAACUGCUGAGCCUUCUCAGAACUCUGGGGCCGUCAAUGAGUCCGCCGGGCACUUAGUGUAGGAUACGUCACCGAAGAAGUCGAUGAUGCAGGAGCUGUAAACACUAUUGGCCCCAAAGACAUGACCGGGGGGACAUUCGUUGUGCUCAUAUCAAGUGUGGAGAUGGUAGCAACAGUAACUCCUGGAUAAGGUCAGACUACCCCUACUAGCUGGCUGCUGGUUUGAUAUUAAGUUCAACAUCUACAAAAACAAUUAAUAAAAAAGUUACAUUCCACUACUUUAAUCUGGUUUGGAUAUACUAAAAAAUAUCAUAACCUUGAAGCAAAUUAAGAUAUAUUUUUAAUUUCAUUAAUACCAUUAAAAAAGGAAUCAAAUUAUCAAAUAUACGCGCAAAGUAUAUAUUCAUGCACAAUAGGAACAUCUAUAGUAUCCCACAUGCCUAUAUGUAUAACCUAUUUACAUGCCUUAUGCAAACCUAUAUGAUAAACAUGAGAAAAAAAAGAGUUAAAAGGACAAAACAUGCAGAUGCAGGGAAACAGUACAUACAACCUCAAAAAAGGUUUUCCUUGUCGGUCAGUUGAACUGAUGAGCUCUUCCAGAAUAAGGAAGCAUGCAGUCAAUAAACCUUGUAUUGAAAAACAGUUUGCAAGACAAUGCAACUUGCAAGGAAUCGAUGAAUGAUGGAAGAGGGCAAGCAUGUACUUAUUCUGGUUGGAGGUAAGGAUGAAUAUGUGUGUGUGUAUGUGUGUGUGUGUGUGUACUUAUGUAUCAUAUUGAAGACAAUGCAACUUGAAAAACAGUUUGCAACACAAUAGUCUUAAACAGAAAUAGCAUAGUGCGAACAACACUCUCACUAAUUUACCAUAUCAACUUAAUGUCUAAAAGACUUAAUUAUCGGUGUAGAAUUAGCCAAUUAUUCUAACUGGUUAGCCACAUGUAUUCUUUAUUGAACGCAUCCUUUAAACAAACCAAAAGGAACCUUACGACAUAAGCGCGUACAUUACAUAUUAAUAUGCAAGAUACAAGACAAAACAAUAUAAAAUUAUGAACCCAUUAAUCUACAACAUCAUAUCUUGAUUGCAGAAAACACUUUUUGAUAAAUUUUUUGAAACAUGCAUGCUUUAGUAGCAUGUCAAUCAGUUUGUACAAAAUACCAUAAAAUUUCCUUAGCAUGCAAAUUAAUCACAAUCUCAAUGAAAGAAUAUCACAAUCUUUCCUCCACAAGAUAUCCCAUCCAUUCCUCAACAUUCGUUUAAACAUUUAUGAUGGAUACUCAAAAUCAUACCAAAACUAAUCCAAUAGUAAGAGCUAAUAAAACCAAUAGAGAUAUAAUUUAUGGUUUUGCUAUUUUCGAAAUGCAACCUUAACUACAACUUUCAUAAUCACUCGAAAAGCUAGCUGCUGCCAUCAUGCAUUAUUUAAUAUACAUGUAUAAAUGACUUGCUAGUUACUAUUGCACAAAACAAAACCAAUUCAUGCAAUUGUCUCUAAAGUAAUUAUAGAACAGGUUACAAAAAGUUAUUAUGCACAUUUUAGGAGAUGUAUCAAUAAUUUUAGGUCUUAUAACUUGCAAAAUCAUUAUAAAGAUCAACAUAUAUGAUGAACAAAUUAUAUUUCUCGCAAGUGCACGAAUCAAUAAGAUAGUGUAGCAAGCAAAUACGAGUGUCGUACCCACAGGGAUUUGCAAGGUCACCUAACUAAAUCCAAUUUUGUAGUACCCACUAGAAUUAAAAUAACGAAAACAACUAAACCACGAAAUUCAAAUAAUUAACCAAGGAGAAGUUGAUCAAGUAAUCUUAAGUGCAGUAAAUUAAAGAGAAUUUAUGUAAAUAAUUUCUGAAAACAAUGGUGAAACACUAGGUAUCCAACUUCACCAUAUCAAUCCAAUUCUAUGUCAUUAGAUAACUUAGUAAAAACAAUUCAAUUUAGGUUCUAGGGUUCGUUCUCUCUUUAUUAUGAUUAUCCGUUAGGCGUCCGGGUGUAACCGUAUUCUUAAUCAUCAACUUAAUCACGGCGUCCAGUCUAAGUCAAUAAUCAAAAAUCCAUUAAUUGCGAAAAGAACAAAGAAAACCAAAAAGUGUCUUAGCAUGGCGUCUGCAUCAACAACAAUUGAUUCAUACAAGAGAGCUAUCUCAAGGCUAAGCAUAUGGCGUCUACUAUAACCUUGUCUCAUACAUCUAAAAAUUCAUAUUAAGGUAGCUAAUCAAUAACAUGAACAUAAAGAAUGAUAUAAGCACAGUGGAUGAAACUAGAAACCGUGAAUUGAUAAAAGAAUGAAUUAACUAAGACAUAGAAUUAUCAUGAAGGCUACAUCGGAUCCCUAACAAAGAAUUAGUUCAUCACGACCAUCAAAUUAUAAUAAGACAUAAGUAUCACAAUCAUGAAAAAUAAUGGAGAACCCCCUCGGCGUUGGCGUCUUCCUUAGGUCAAUCCUCUGUGAUGAAGUGCGACUCCCCUUUUUCCUCCCUGCUAUUUUUCACGUUUUUCUUCUUAAAUAAACAUCUAAGGAAUAUAUAGGUAGGUUUUGUUAGGCUUGCUUUGCGGAAAUUGUUGAAUCCCAGCCCAAACAGGAAUCCCAACAUCAUCAGACUUUGGUUUCCUGAUCCAAACUAGACUCCACUUCUGCGUAAAAUUCCUGAACUGACCUUCUCAUACUAAAACAGGUAUAACUUCUUCUAGAAGCAUCCAAAUCAUGAUCUAUAAAAUUCAGCCGAAACUAAACAUCCAUAGCUUUCCAUGCAAAUGUGACACAACACCUAGUUUGUCCUGAUGAAUUUUUGACGUACCAAUGAAAAUGAUAGUUCUGUGUAGCACCUUCCAGCUCCAGUUAUAAUUUUCACAGAGCAGCCAUUAAGUUGUGGAUUGAACAAUUUAAUAUUUGAUGAUUGUUGGAAUGCUUCUUGACUUCAAUUCUUCUCAGUUUUGGUCCCUUUUAGUCUUGAAAUCACCAAAAGACUCCAAAGUCUUCUCUACGGCCCAUUAUCUGUUGGAAAUGUGCCCUAAAACCAAUCAUAUGAUGAUACUUUACGGACAUUUCACAUGUUAAACUAAUCUAGUUUAAUAUCAAGGGCAAAGAUUAUUGUUUGAGCCGUCUCAUAUAAAUGUUAUACGCUUAAACGAUAAGUCUAAGGAAUAUGUGAUUGGGAGAAUGCGAUCUAAAGAAGUUAGAUUCAUGAGACCAUUCUUUCGUAGACACAUCCUAAACGUUCCUGAUCAUAGGAUUGCCAAUUGGGCAUUGACAGUCCGUUAAGAUCAGUACGUGCUGUGUCUUCUCUCAGGGAGAGUGACUAGUCUCGAGUCAUUGGUGUGUGUGACAUCAAGACAAGUACGUAGGUGCUCAAUAGAGAAUGAGUUCACUGAACACGAUCAACGAAGAGUUCUCAUAUUCAUGUCACAUGAGAACUCAUGGUUGGGAUAAUGCAAAGUAGUCCUUUUGACCUGAGGCAUCAUAGUUGUCUUGUGGUUAAGUCCUUGAUCUUUGAUUAUGUCAAAGUCACCCAUCCGCGGGUGUCCACGGCAUCGUUGGGGUUAAGCCACUUAGCCAUGGAGGCAAGUGAAUGCGCAACAAGGGAUCUCUAACCUUCAAACCGUUUGAGGGAGAAUACUCUAUGAUAUGAUUAAGAAUCUCUGGCCAGAGUAUGAAUGAGAUUUAGGAAGUCGUUCCAAAUCACAUUCAAGGUAAUCAUAUAAGCACACGAAUCACAUUGGAUAGUAGACAUGAAUAAACUAUCAAACCAAACAAUGUGGUCAAGAGUAUUGUAUUAGAGAAAGACCGUAUUGCAUUUGUAAUCCUAAACUGAAUAGGUUCUCUACCUCUUCUGAUUAGCUUGGGUAACCAUGAUAUGCUGCUAGGUGUCACUCAUGGUUUGUGGAAGCCCUAAACGUGUAUAAUCACUAAAGGGAGAAUUGAAAGUAAGUUUCAAUUCACAAUCGAUUUGAAAGAGUUUUAAUCGCCCACUGCCUCGCUAAAAGGAACCUAAUGGAUCGUACACCGUGUAAGGUGGAGAUUGAAGAAACAAUGGAGAUGAGUAAGAAUAAUUAAAUGGUUUAAUUAUUUAUGGCAAGGAUUAAUUAAUAUGUUAAUUAAUCAAACGAAUAAGUUCGUUAAAAGACCACGGGUUAGUUUUGGACCUCAAGGCCCAAUGGGCUUCGAACGUCAAGCCCAUUGACUUAAGUUGUAUGACAACUUAAUGAAUAAUAAUUCACAAAGG
rnacentral:lncRNA from 1 species